CGCCACAAAGAGAGCUCCAGCAUUUCCCGAUUGCAACAUUGUUGCUCUAAAACCGAUCGCAGCGAAUUACGAAGACGAAGACGAAAACAAAACGAACCGUUUCGGUGCAUACAUUUACCUUGAGGUGGACGAUUCCAACAGUUUUUGGGGGCUUAUUGUUCCGUCUCCCCGUGCCGCUGUCAAUCCUCGAAAGGCGGUGAGUGGAGAUCUCACCGAUGAGUCGAACGUCGUCGUUUGGCGUCAAGAGACUGAGCGUUUCGGGGCGCCGAAUCUUGGCGUAGGAGAGGACGCCGUUUCGGAGAAGAAACCACCUGGAUCUCCACCCCUUGCUGUAAUUGGUCCACUUGUGGAGAACUCCGGCGACGGUGGUCUCAGAUCCCGCCGGCCGGCCGGAGGCAUUGGUAUCAGAUCCAAGCGGCGCCGUCGCCAGACUCGUCGGAAGGCUACGGGUCCGGGAGAGCGAGAUCUCCGGCGACUGGUCGCCGAGUCCCGCGCUCUCCAGCGUGAUGCAGCAGAGCGGGUGCAUCUCCUUGACUCGCAUUUCGGCCAACCAAAACGACGUCGCGAAAAUUCCAAUGCAAAAGGAAACGAAACGAUUACAAGCGACAACCGUUCACCGAUUGUUAAUUCCCCAUUCUUUCAUGCGCUGAAUGAAAAACUGCAACAGAGGAAGAAGAAGAAGAUUAAUACGAAUAAUUAAUAAAUAUACGCAGCGUCGAGUUGCGUCAAUCAAAAUCGAAAUUAAUUACGAGAAAUGAAAAUGCAGGCAUGCAUAUGUCGAUCGUCACCAUCAAAAAAUGUGAAAAUUGAUUUUAGGCUAUUUUGAGAGAGAGAGAGAGAGAGAGAGAGAGAGAAGGCUCCUCUGCUUUCUCUCUCUUUCUCUCGGUUAGAGACGAACCUGGGGAGAGUGGAGAGCUCUGAAACUGAGAGAGAUUCGGGAAGAGAGAGAGAGUGUGUGUGUGUGAUUGUGUGUGUUUGAAAGAGUAGAGGAUUAUUAUAAUGAGGACCGAAAAGAGCUUCUUCUUCUUUUCUUUUCUUUUCUUUUUUCUUUUUAUUUAUUUUAUUUAUUUAUUUAUUUAUUUUUAAUAAUUAUAUUUGUUUGGCUUGGAUUGAUGGCAAAGUAUUUAUAUAGAAUAAGUUGGAAAGGGAAGGAAGGAGGGUUUGGUGUCUCUAUAUGGUGUGUAUAAAGAGCAGUGGGUGUGAGACUGAGACUGAGAGUCUGUCUGAGACUGAGAGAGAGAGAGAGAGAGGUGUGCGGUGAGUAAUUAUAGUGGCAAAAUAGUAAUUAAAUGCAUUGGGAAACAGAUUUCCAAGCUGGAUUCUACUACUUACUUCUCCUUCUUCCCGCUCUGUUUAAUCCUCUUUUGCUUUGGACAUAGAGCAAGAAGAGAGGGGGAGAUCUUUUAUUUCUCGCGAGAUGAUUGAAAGUAUAUCGGAAAAAUCUCGCGUGGACGGUGGACGGUGGAUGUGGGGUGUUGGCGUGGCGGCAAUCGGGGGAGAGGGAACUGAGAAUCGGGAACCGGGAAAUGGGCGGGACAGAAAAUACAGAUCCUGAAAGGGGUGUUAUUAAUAUCCAUUUACUGUGGUAAUUAUCAUCAAAUUUUUUUUUCCAGAGAUAAAUGAAAAUUAUCAAGUUCGGUCAAAGUUUUUUAGGGCCCUACCUAUCCUGUUUAAUUAGUUGCUGUCUAUUAAUAUUUUCGGUAGCCCAAGUUCAGUGGUUUCCCUCCACAUGGCAUAUUCCUAUCCGACACUUGGGAGAUUUCUAGAGGGAAAGAAAAAAUUAUACAAAUAUUGAAUAUAUAAAAAAUUAUAUUUGGGAUUGGUUACAGAAAAAAAUUGGUAACUCCUUUUUUUUUUUUUUUUUUCUUUCUCAAAGUUUAAAGAAAAGAAGGUUGCACAAUAUAAUAUGAGGCUUUGAUAUGUAUGAUUUUAAGAUCCGUAGAAGAUAUUCGUUGUAAUUUAUUAUAUAUUGAAAAGAAACGAUAUAAUUUGAGGAAUGUUACCGAAAAAUAUUGGAAAAGAGGUUUGUUUUAAUUUUGGUCAAAGGUAAACUUCGUUAGAGAAAUGAAGUUAGGACAAAAAUUGUUUGUUCCAAUAAGAACAGUGGAUUAAAGGCCAAAAAGAAACAAAAAGAUUAGUGCCUAAUUGAGACAUUAUGAUAUGAUUCAUUCCAUGAUUUGAUUCAUUAUAAAUUUUCUCAAUCUAACUUUCUUUUUUAUCCCCAACUCACUGUGCGUUACUUUCCAUCGAUUGGAUUACUUGACUGAACCAAAGAAAAUAAAUAAAUGGCAUUAGAGAAAGACUUGUUUAAAGAGGCAAGUGGCACAAGAAGUUUUCGAGGGCAAAAAACUUGUAUUCCAUUUUUAAUUUUAAUUUUUUUUUAAUACGAGUAAUAGUUUAAACUAUUGUCGUGGAAAUUCAAACCUAAGACUUUUGAUAUGCAAUUUAAUGCUAUUUUUUAUUAGGCUAAAUUUAUUUCUUAAAUUAGAGAUAAUUGAUUAAAAAGAUAGAGAAAUAGAUUCAUUUUGACAUGUUCUAUUCAAAUCAGUUUCCCAAACUUUUCUUUUAAACCACCCUUAUGAUUGUGUGUCCGAAUUACAAAUUCUAAUUUUGUCUUACACAAUAAUUAUUACCAUUGUUGAAACAACCAAAUCAAAUGAAGCCAUCAACAGAGGGAUUCGAAAACUCAAAUCAUGUAUGUUAAAAAAAUAGAGAAAGUUAGAGCUGCAGAAUGGUUACAAAAAAAAAAAAAAGUGUUGGAAAAGGGAGAUAGAAUAGAAAGACAAAGACACGUGAGAAGAAAAGAGUGAAAGAAAUGUUAAAGAAUUCAGAAUAACCAUAAUGAAGACAAAUGUAUAUCUUUAAAGGAAAAGACAUUUCCUCAAACAUAUAAAUCCUAUUUCAAAUAUAAUUGAUUAACUAGUAAUACACUGACGUGUGUAGUAGUGACAUAAUUUAGUAAUAUUCUAAUAUUAUUGAAGAGCAAGGCUGGCCUCCUUAAAACUCAUGGAAUUUCGACAUUUGUCAAAUUCUGAUAAUAUUGACAAAAUUUCAACAAAAAAGAAUAGAAUAAAAUAAAAUAAAAAUGGACACGUGUCAAAAACACAUUAGUUAAAAAGAGGAUCUCUUUCGUAAUUUUAAAGAGCCAAACUUUUUUCUGCAUCAUACGCAUUCUUCUAUAUCUAUAUAUAUUAUCUAUAUAUAUAAAGCAAAAGGCAGAGAAUGGUGAAACAUUCAAAAUACCAGAAAAUGCCCUUGGUUAAUGCAAACAUUAAGAAUUCAAAUUAUUAAUUAAAUGAGGAUAAUAUGGUAAAUUCAACUUUUUCAUAUUUAAAAAAAUUAAAAGAAAAAGAAAAAGCAGAUAAUGGAUCCUAUUUUUAUGGAACACAACUACCCAUUAUCUUUUUUAAUUCUAAAAUAAAUUUACUUAUUUUUUUAAAAAAACCUCUUGCAAGCGCGGAAGCGCGUGCAGAGAGGCUAGUUAUAUAUAAAGCAAAAGGCAGAGAAUUGUGAAACAUUCAAAAUACCAGAAAAUGCCAUUUGUUAAUUCAAACAUUAAGAAUUGAAAUUAUUAAUUAAAUGAGGAUAAUAUCGUAAAUUCACAUUUUUUAAUAUUAAAAAAAUUAAAAUUAAAAACAAAAUAAGAUAAUAGGUCCUACUUUUAUGGAACAUAACUACCCUGUUAUUUUUUCUUAAUUCUAAAAAUAAAAAUAAAAAAGAAAAAGAAAACCAAUUGGCACAUGCGUAAGCAUGUUUCAAGGGGCUAGUAUAGUUAUAUACAUAAGAACUCCUUUGACACACAUAUGCAAAAAUAAUUUAUAAAAAACACAAAAAGAAAAAUUUCUUCACACACGUCACACAGUCACACUGCUAUUUGUAAAAAUAUAAAAAAUCUUAUUUAUCUGAUAAAAAGGAAAGUAUUUUCCUAUGCAUAAUACAAUAAGCCAAAAGGCCUUCACGGAAGCAAAAGGUUACAUGAUUCCAUAAUACUUGUAAAAUAUAUUAUUCUUGGUGUUAAUUAGGCUGUUAAUAGUUGGUUUGCAUGGUCGUUAGAUAGGAACCCAUCAAAUCAAAUCAAAUCGACUUCAAAGUUCAAUCUAACUAAUUAAUCUAACUAAUUAAUCCAACUAAUUAGUCUAACCAUAAUCAAUGUGCCGUCCCUUUUACUCAUUGUGAUAUGACCAUUCCUUUGGUACGAGCCUAUACACCAAAAUGAUAAAGUAGCAAGACUAGCUAGGUUGCCGAAGAAGAAAAGAUGAAUAAUGACUUCCACUUCACCCAAAAAACAACAAAAAAGAUGGUGACUUCCACAAAUUCAUUUUCGUAAACCUUGUACAAAUUUACAUUAGUCGUUUGACUUUAUAAAAAAGAGUUGUAGAUGUGACAAACUUAAAAGAAGUGAUAUAACUGUAUUGUAAUUUUCACUUUACAUAAUUAGUACCGCACGCUUGUUAGACUAUGAAUUAGAACCAUUGUGGAUAAGGACAGUAAAGAUUUAAAGAUAUCAUUCCACGUAGAUUAUGAUAAAAAGGUAACUUAAAGAUCUUCUAAAGAGAUUUGCAUUACAACAAAAUUAUUAUAGAACUAGGAAACCCUAACACUAGACUACGCGUGAUUAACAGUUCCUAAUUAAUCAACUGUCUACAUAUAUAUAUAUUUGUUAAAUGAUGUUAAACACAAAUUUACUAACAAAUCAACAGAGAUUUGUGAAUAGAACAGUAAAAGGUUGGGUGAUGGGGGGGGGGGGGGGCCUUUAGAAGCAGCAAUGGGUUGCCCAUCUGGAACCCUCUUAGGUUUAGUUGGUUUUAGUCAAUGAUAGCUGCUGGACACAGCUAUUAAAGGAAAGAUUAUUACUUGUAUAAUUGAGCACAUGAUUCAGUUUACCUUUCUAUUUAAUUUUCGUCAAUGAGUUUCUAUUUUUGGCUGAGGAAAAAAAAAAAGUAUUUCUAUCUUUCUUACCUUUCAAUUAAAGUGACCAACAAAUGAUUUGAACAUGCAUGGCCGCAGCUUGGUGUGGCAAAUCCAAGAAGCGUGGCCGCAACUUUAGGUUGGUUUGGUCCACUCUACUUCACACUUUUCUAGUUCUUUCAGUGUCAGGCGUAUAGCUUCAUGUUAUUGCACUACUUUUGGCAGAGAUUGUGACUCAAAUUAGCUAAAUCAUCUGCCAAAAAAUUAGCUUCUCUGUAAACAUGCUUGCAAGCAAGAGCAUAAAAUCCCAACUACUCUUUACCCAAGUUCCCAAAAAGCAUCAAGAAACUUUUCAUUGAUUCAUGUUCUUCUUUUUAUUUUAUUAGCUAUUAGAUUUCAUGAAUUGAAAUUCUUGAGUAUUCUACUUCUGGUUGAAUUAUGAAUUCUCCAACAUAUUAAAGCCAAUGAGCAAGGGGUUUAUAGUGAUUAAGAACAGUUAUUCCCGAAAUUCUGAGUUCGAAUCCCCAUCCCAUAUCACUUGUAUUAAAAAAAUAAAUAAAAAAUAAAAAGUCAAUAAAUCCUUUGAAAUUCACAAGCGAUAUAAUUGUAUGAAAUGUGUUGCAUCCUGAAAAGGGGCCCAUUGGCCUUGUACGUUGCUCUACCCACGCUGUAAUGGUUAUGUUUUGAUAGUUACAAACCAUGAACAUUGAAACCAACGGUGAUAUUUGUCUUGAAUUCUUUUAAUGUCAAAACCAAUGUUUCUAUAGAUUGAAUUGUCGUUGGCAUCGUCUAGUGAAUCAAAUCAAGAUUUUUCCAAUACCCUACAUCAAAUUACACCAAAAAAAGAAGAAGAGAGUAACAAGUUUGAGAAAUGAAAUGUUAUUUUUUUAAUACAAACGAAUGAGAGAGAGAGAGAGAGAGAGAGGUUUACGUAAAUAUUCAUUGGGUGAUUGAGAGUUUCAAACCUCUGAACUAUACCAUUGGUUUUGGGAGAUGAAAUAUAAAUCGAAGUCUUGAUGUAUAAGUUUUUUACAAGUUCUGAUUUGAAGUUUGAAAAACAAAAAACAAAAAUCAAUAUAAACAUACACCACAAAUGCAUAUAUAGUUCAUCGAAUAAAAACCUGACAAAAAAAUGUGAGAGAGUGAAAGCAAAUCAAAUCAGAAGCAAGCAAGCAAUAGCAAACACUCAACCCCAAAAAUAAUGGUGUCAUCUCUUUGUGAGACCAAAACUAUCUUCUUUGCUAUCUCUUAGUCAUGUGUCUCUGUAUUAAGGGUAUGUCUUAAUACCCCCAUUAUUUUUGCUGCGGGCCCCCACAAGGGCUCUUAAGCUUAAGAUAGUCCUAAUCACAAGUCGCUUCACGCAUGAUCUUAAAGUUUAAAACAAACAAACAAAACUCCUACUUCUCUACAUGUAUUUUCAAGUACAUUUUCAUCAACUUUAUAAUAUUCCUCUUCUUUUUCUUUUUUUCUUUCUUCUUUCUUUCUUCUUCAUGCUUUUGGUUGGAGGAGGCACUUUGAUUUGAACUGAUUGACAUGUAAACCAAACAAUACUCUUGUUUUUAAUUCCACAAUCUGUAUUUAUAUAUAUAUAUAUAUAUAUAUAUUCUAUAUAAGGCAUGCAUGAUGCAUUAGAUAAUUAUUGGUGUAAAUAAUGAUGGUCGUGGGAGUUGUUGUUGAAGGUGUGGGGAUUGUAUGGGGGGAUCCACAUGGUCGUGUGUUUACGGGAGAGGAGAGCGGCUUAACCAGUGAUAGCACAACCUAGCAUAAAAACUCUCUUCUAACGAGAAUAGCAUUGUUUUACUAUUUUCGACCAAUAAUGCAAUUAUAUGUGGAAAAAUUAUUCCAUCUGUCAUUGUGCUAUUAACCAAUGAUAGCAAAAAGUUGAAUAGUUAUAAUAACCCGUGAUGAACUUCUAAUUACUAAAUUAUUUAUGUAUAUAUAUUAUAUUGUCAUACUGUGAAUUUGAAUAAGACAUUACUGAUUGUUAUAUUUGUCCUAGUUAAUGUAGACAACUAGUCCACUAUGUGGUAGCUUUAAUUAGGCUUACUUGUAAAUUGCCUUUUAUCUUUGUUCUUUCCAUCUGGGUUAUAUAUGAUCUUUCUAAAAGUGGCCUGCAAAUGGAUAUCGUCUUUACAUGCACCUUAAUUUAGUAUCUAGUAAACUUGGAAAAUAGCUUUUGUUUGUGUAUCUGGAGGCAAGCAGCGUGGGAGCAUCAUUUCCAAGUUGUAUGGGAUGGUGUAAUGAAUCUAUCAACUAAUUAUUUAAUUAAGCUUUAAUCUACAAUUACAACAAGUUUUAAGCACGGUAUGUUGGGUAUCUAAUGAUGCUAGUAAGUAGUGCCAAGUGAUUACAAAACACAAAGUUGGAGACAAGAAGAAUAAAAAAAUUGUGAAAUUACCAAGAAUUAGUCCGUGGGUUGUACUUGUAUCCCAGAUGGUUUGCAGCACAUAAUGUUACAGUGAUUUAUUUAUUUUCCUUUUUAUACGAGUGAUAUAGGGGGAAGGGAAUUCGAAUACAAUACUUUGAGCGUAAAAAAACUGCUCUAACCACUUAAAUUACAAAACUACCUUGUAAUUUUAGUGUCACUUUUAAUAUUUCUCCCCCUUUUCCCAUUCCCUUAUUGAAGAAAAGUAUAUGAAAAACUAGAGCUGGUCUAUUAGCAAAUUGAACUUCCCUUGGAUCUGGCAGGACUGUUUGCUAGUUUAUAAAUAUACUUUUUUCCUCUAACAAAUGAGAAGAAAACAACUAAAACAUGCAUUUAGAAGUGAAGUUUAUCUACUUUUUAUAUCAGUAAAGUUACCUCAAAAGAGUGAGGAAAGCUUCUACUUGAAAGGAAACUUAUAUUAAUAUUUAGGCUGCAUAUACUGUUAGAAGAACAACACCACUUCUAUAGUUCUUAUUUAUUAUGUAGGUCCAGAAAAUUCUACCUAAGUUAAAUUAGGAGUUAAUUGAAAACAACUAUAAUCUCAUCAGCUAAAUAUAUAGGAUUCAAAAAUCAGCUCUUGAAUUGCAUAAGUUUCUAAAUUAUGCAACGAGUAGGAUGAGAGUCGAACUCUUUUCGAUGAUAAAUAGUUAACGCUUUUAUAAAAGAAAAUUCAUUUUCUUCAUCUGAAAUUUCAGUCUGCAGGACUGGCAGGACUUCUGCCAUUCUUAAUACAGAGAUCGAAUCGAGUACUAAUAUGCAACCUCCCACAAAAAGCAACAGGUUGGCAAAGAAGAUUGACUUUUGUGGUCAUUGGUCAACCUGUUAAAUCAUAAACAUGCCAUUAUAAAAAUAUAAUUAUUUAAUAAAUCAGUAAUUUUGUUCCUUGUGCUAUCUAAUCAACCAUCACUUAGCACUUAAAUAAUUGCAAAAACCUUGUUAUAAUUGUACAACGCCAUUGACAUGACCCCUUGUCCUUGGUGGUCACUGGUCUCCCUUGCUGCAAUUAUACCCUUCUCUCUGUGCUGCAGAUUCUCUCUUCCUCUUCCCACUGUUACCAACAGAACAAAAAAACUACAAGAUAUGCACAUGCAUGGAAGAAAAUGUCCAUAACUUUAUGAAAGAUUUCAAAGAUGAAAAACCCAACACCAUCAAACCAAGAUUUUUUUAGAAAAGUAUUUUAAUUUGGGCAAUGAAAAUUUGCACGAAUUAUAUGGUUUAGGAUUCAAAAGAAACCAGCAACCACCAAUCAAAUCCUUGUUUCUUAAGUACCAAACAAUGAACAAUUUUCUCCAUUGGAGAUCACCAGACUUCCAGUUGGGAAACAACUCAUUGAAGCACUAACAAACGGCCCCCACAGCUCGUUAUGUCCUCUGUGCAUGGAGCAAUAUUUCUUUGUUCCCCUAUCAUUUCAAAAUUUAUAUCAUAUCACAAAUUGUAUCUACCCAACACAGCAUGUGCCCUGCCCAUACCAUCAAUCCUCACUAGGCAUGUUGAUUUUUCUCACAUAUUGCAUGCAAUUUUGUUGCUUAUGAUAUUGGGUUUCGUUUUGCUUGAUUGAUUUUGCAUGAUUCAUGUCUUCUGUAGGCCACCCACAUAUGCAUAUAGUUCUUUUCUUUCAACAAGGCAACCACAUCAUUGAUUUGAAAUUUUGUAGUGUGAAUGCCUAUGCUCGGACAUGGACUCUUGCUCUAUUUAAGUGGUAGAGAUCCACUCUGCCGGGUGUCGGUUCUUUCUUAAACGAUGGACGUGUCAAGAAAAUUUCAUUUUUAUUUUAUUUGUUGACAAUUACUCAUGUCAAUAAAUAGAAUCAAAACUGAAGAAAAUUUCUCAACGCGAAAUAAAAGAAUUGGCAUUUCUGUCACGUGUAUAUGAUACUAAAACAGUUUUAAUUCUGUUGGAUCAUAUAGAGUUAAAAAUGGUGAUGUCCUUUCAAAUUAUGUUUAAAUUUAUGCAAGGACUUUAAAAUAGCCACUGCUUUCAACCACUUUGUACCAAAUUAAGGGCCCUCCCUCCCAGCUGGUUAAUCUACCAGCUCAUCCACAGCCCUUUUUCAAGGCUCAAAAUCUGCAGGUGUCUCUUACUUUAUUUAUAUAUUAAAAUUAAAAUAAAUUUUUUUAUUUUUAUAAAUAAAUAAAUAAAUAAAACCCUUCCCUCUAGCUCAGUUUUAAUGGUGACCGUUCUAAAGUUUACAUCACAAAUAUAGGAAACUACUUCAAAGUCCAUCCACGGAUAUUUUGUACCAACAGAUUUCAUUUCACAGCUUUUCUUUCGUUUGUGAAUUUUUCAUCAAGGGCAAGAGGGUUGGUUGAAUUCUUUUGUACUGUUAUUCCAAUAAUUGUUACCUAUCAGUAGAGGGUGUUUAUAUUUUUCUUGUUUGGCCAACUAAAAGAACAGUAUUUUAGAUUCGAAUCUAGGACAAAUUCUUGAAAUUAUAUUGAAUUUUCACUAUUGGACUGAGUGCAUAGGACAAUAAAAUAGUCACUUUUGGUAACUCAAAAAAAGAUAAAGAUAAAUGGAUUGGAUUGUUUUUUUUAUAGAUGGAAAAUGAAGAGAAUUGUCUCGAAAUUCAAAUUAUGGAGGGGACAAAUUUCUUGACGUUCCAAUUGAGUCACAUCAGUACACACACAGAUUGCAAGUGAAUUGUACCUCUAGUCGGUCAUGUUCAACAUCACCCCAAAAAAGGCAGGAAAACUUACUUGUAAUGGGGAUAGCACUGUUUUGCUAUCCCCGACUAAUAAUAUAAUGACACGUGAAAAAAUCAUCUCACGUUUGAUUGUGUUAUUUGUUGAAAAUUGCAAAAAACGUUCUCCUCGUUGCAUAAAAGUUUCUUUCCCAAAAAAAAAAGCUACGAGUAUUUUAAGAAAAAGGAAAAAAAGUUGUCAAAAUGUGUAGGGUUUAUUUCGUCAUUCAAGGAGAACACACACAAGGGAAAAAAGAAAAAGUAAAUUUAGGUUUUACCCAUAAAAAAACUUUCACUUUUGGAAAAAGCCAAAGCUUUUUCAAAAAAGACAGAAUAACCUCUCAACUUUCAAACCAAAGACAUGCAAAUGUAAAGGAUUUCUUAGGAAAUCAAAAAAUAAAUAAGGGCAAUUUUGUCCAUUUUUGCUUCUUUUAAAAAUUUUCUCUCUCCUUUGGGCUUUUCCAAAGUCUCCCAAAAGAAAAAGAAUAAGAAAAACCCACAUACCAAAUCCCAUUGGCUUCCAUCUGCAACAUAUUAAUAAAAUUCAAUUUGCCUAAAAAUUGGGAAAAUGGAAACAGUCUAAAGUAAAAUUUCAUGUGAGCUUGUUGAAUUGAAUGGUUUUUUUAAAGUCUUUCUGAGCUCAAUCAAAAUCUUUUUCGUUUUGUGCACCAAACUUCCCCUGGAUCUGACAGCAAGCAAUCUUAAUUGUAGAUUGACCCAAAAUUCACUGCAAUCUUAAUUGUCAAGUAAUCACCUUACUUAAGUUUUCAAUUGCCAAAAAGGCACACAAAUGAUCACCACCACCACCACCAGGUACGUGGGGGUGGGUGGCUAGAAAUUCCACCUGUUAAAAUGAAUAAACAGGCUGAUGAAUAUACUCCAGUAUUUCAGUUUUGUACAUGAGUAUAUACGUCCAUUAAAUCCAUAGAAAAUCAAGCCAUUGUUUCGACUGUAAAUUUGCAAAUAUUUAGAGAGGGACAAGACAAUCUUCAAUCUCACCUAAAAAAGGCAACUUGGAGAAUCUAAUGGCCAUGCACGGUGCUUAAUGGGCCAUAAUGUGUCACCGCCAAUGCAACCAGGCAGUAUUCAUAAGAACAAAUUAUGUUAAGGGUUCAAUCCAGCCAUUUUAAACAUUUUCAUCGAUCGAAUGACUAUUGUUGACCUACUCAUUACAACUCCUUAUAACCUACUCAUGAGUCAUUACAACCCCUUAUUAAAAUUUAGAACCUUACUCUAAAAAAGGGUUCUCUCUCUCAACACACAUAUAUAUAGAGAGCAGUCCCGAUCUCUUGGACCACAGGAGUCCAAGAGAUUGUGGUCACCUACUUUUAGAUAUUAAUCUAAUGAUUCAAAAAAGUUUUUUAAAAGGAGUGCAAAAGUGAGUGAACCGUUGAAUUUACAUCCAACGGUGAGUGACCACAAAUCUCUUGGACCCAUGUAGUCCAAGAGAUUAGGACUGAUAUAUAUAUAUAUAUAUAUAUAUACAAUUCUCUUCUAUUGAUGGAUCCUUCAAAUAAUUUUAUUUGAGGGACGCCCUUUAGGGUACCCUACAAUUUUUUUCCCAAUGAUCAAAACCAUCUAUUUUUUAGGACUUCAUUCAUAGAUCAUCCUUACAAAAAAUUAGACAAAUCGGAAACCGUUUCGACAUCCAAUUGUGUCUUACAAAAUCAAUGAACACGGUGCUUCAAGAAAAUACUAAAAUUUCAAUAACUCAAUUGAGUGGUCAAAUGAUAUCCGAUUCAAGUGAUUUUUUGUAGAGAUGAUUUUUGAAUGAGUAUCUACAAAAUAGACAGUUUGGAUUAGUGAAAUACAAUUCAGAGUGGAGCCUACAAGGAGUAUCCCUCAAAUAAGCUUAUUUGAGGGAUCCCUCAAUGGAAGUUCUCUGUGUAUAUAUAUAUAUAUAGAAAGAGAGAGAGAGAGAGAGAGAGAGAGAGAGAUUAAGAGAGAUCAUUUUGAUAUUUAAAAAAACCAAAAGAAACCGCAUGUGGGCUUAAUCCUUCUUUCGAUUUGAACUGUAUACUUUCAGUUUUUCCGCAAGAUUGUUCUUACGAAAAACCAACCAAUAAGAAAAUCAUUUAUUUAUUUAAUUAUGACAAAAUAAAUAGAUGAAUACAGUGAUUUCGAUAAAUAUAUCAAAUGUUUAAAUGAUUUCUCAUUUUUGAUUGUUUGCGUGAAUGAUUCUUAAAUAGGUAUACAAAAUUUAGAUAGUUUGUAUAUAAUCAUUGAACCACAUUGCCAAGUCACCCGUAUAAAGAAAACUUAGUAAAAUGUGUACAUAUAUAUUGCUUCUAUUGAGGGACUCUUCAAAUAAGCUUAUUUGAGAGACACCCUUAUAUGGCGUACUCCGCAUUGUAUUUCACUAAUCCAAACUGUCUAUUUUGUAGAUAUUCAUUCAAAAAUAAUCUUUAUAAAAAAUCACUUGAAUCCAAUAUCAUUUGACCACUCAAUUAAAUUAUUGAAAUUUUAGUACUUUCUUGAAGCACCAUGUUCAUUGAUUUAGUAUGACACAAUUAGAUGGUUUUAGAUUUGUCUAAUUUUUUGUAAGAAUUAUCUAUUAAUGAAAACCUAAAAAAUAGAUGGUUUGGAUCGUUAAAAAAAAUUUCGUAAGAUACCCUAAAGAGUGUCCCUUAAAUAAAAUUAUUUGAAAAAUCUCUUAAUAAAAGAAGACUAUAUAUAUAGAAAUUCUCCUAUGUGGAGAGCUUGGAACUCAUAACUUCCCCAGAAAUGCACAUUAAUCAUGAGCUGUGACUUCUGUUUGCUCAUAAAAGAGCUCCAAAACCAAUCAUGCAUAGAAAAAAACAAAAUCAGUGUAAUGUCAACAAUGCUUUUGCAAUAGAGGCCGAGUAAAAGAGAAAAAGAGGAAAAAAAAAAAAAAAAAAAAAAACCCCCUCCCGUGUGGCAAAAGGUAAAAUGAAGGAGCUAAAAACCAAAGGUGGCUCUGUUGGUGGGUUGGUUAGAGGACAAAACUCAAAAUGAUUUGUACUGUCUCCAUCUCUACAGCUCUUUUCCAACAUUGCAAAUAAAGUCGGCAAAUAUGACUCUGAAUCUGAAUCCCUUCUCUGCCCAGGUCCUCUGUUUAUGGCAGUGAAGGACUAACUGACACUUGGUCAUACACAAAAAAAUAAAAAAAAAUAAAAAAUGUAAAAAAAAUCUCUCUGUCCUCAGGUUUUUGGCUAUCCAAUGUGGCUCAGUGGUCCUCAGCUUUUUCAAAGAGAGACACCAAAUUUGAAGCUCAUCAUCAGCAGCAUGUGCCAAAUCAGUUCAAUGAUAGCAUGCAAGCCAGGGCCUCCCAAAAUGCUAAUUUGGGCAGAAAACCAGAGAGCCUCACAUGUUCACAUCACUUUAUUAUGGAGAUGAACUUGUGAACUGGCAUCUGUCAAAAUGGCUUUGAGGUCAUCAUCAUCAUCAUCAUCAUCAUCAUCAUCAUCUUUCUUCAUCCAUCAUCCAUUCCUUACUAGGGUUUCUGAUCAGCCAGAUAUUUUGUCCUCCUAAGUUGGGUCUAAAUCAACUGGACUUGACCGUUCGACGUUUCACAGCCUCCGUUCCACGUUUCAGAGCCUCAGGAUCUGAGGUUGGUCCAAGGUCCAUGGUAGAUAGAUAUUACAAGCACCAAAUGGUCAAGUAUAAUUCUGACACCCACAACAUGCCCAUACAACUAAAUUUGGCUAGGGAUUUGAAUGCAGACUUGAAAUUAUGACAGGCACAUAAUAAAUUAUCCAACUGGAAAUCUGGUUAUCAAUAGAAUUUCUGAAAUCAUAAAAAAUUUAAUCUACAAUGUCACAAAAUACAAGUUGGCUCCAAACAAAUUAUCUUCUUACCAUGGAAAUUGACAAUGACCUUUUUUACCUUGAGGGUUUUAGUUUCUUGUGAGCGUGGUGAUUAAAUAGAUAACCCACUUGAUUUUUGUAUCAAUCAUACAAGUGAUGGGAGAAAGUUUGAAAGCCUAAUAAUGUUGACUAGGUAGAAGGUAAAAGUAAAACAUAUCUUUCAACUUGUUCCACAUCUUCUAUCCAUUUGUAGCCAAUCCAGGCACAUGCUUUCAAUCUCACAAGGCAUCAAGAAGAACCUGUUCCUGCAUUGGACCACUUGUUCAGAUAAAAAGAAGAAAAAAGUUUGUGUUAGUUUUUCAUAAAAGCCGGUGUUUGUGGAUUCAAACAACAAUCAUGGAGAAGGAAAAAUCAAAAGCACACAUGUAGGUGACCCACAAACUGAAAAGAUCCAACUACAUUUCCAUAUUGUACACAGAACAAUCUCAUGGUCUCAAAGGAAAAGACCGUGAUUUCAAUGAUUAAAAUCCAUGGUAGGACCGUUCUCUUCUCUCAAGUAGUGGAUGAGUUACAUAACCUAAAUAAGUUCAAUAAACCAGCAUUUAAGACAAGGGCCAUCCUCAUGGCAACAGAACAAAAAGAUAAGACAAUGAAUUGAAUUUCAAAACACAUUUUAAAUUUCAUCAACAGGCACAACACUUGGAAGUAGGACCAACAAAACAUGAAAAGAAGAAUAUAUAAUGGCCAGGUUAGGAAGGGAAAUGAGGGGAGAAAUGGGUCCUAAAAGAGGAUUUAUGCCUUCUUCAAAAGUAAGAUCCUUUCACUUCCCUUGGGGUUAACAGGUUAUAUUCCACUUCUUAUCCCACCAUUUCCAUCUUGGAUGCAUGCUACUGCAAUUAUGCAAUCACCAAACUAUAACAAUAAUUGUCAGCACUAAUCUUCCAAGUUUUUGAUUGAUUUCUUGUUCAAAGAAAUGAAUAGCAGUCAAUCAAUCAGUCAAUCAACGAGAUCUUAUCGAAUAAAUCUUAUCACAAAAAUAAUUAAAGCACAUACUUUGUAGACGAUUGAGCAAACUAACUGUUAUUUUCCUCCAAACAGAGUUUUUUGAUUCUGAGACAAGCUAAAUUCCAAUGCAGUUGAAUCACAGAAAUACAGAGCUUAAUACAUUUGGAGAAAUACAGUGCUCAAUAGAUCCAGUGAAGCAUGGAAAAUACCACAGAAGAAGCACAGAAUUUGCCAGCAUAUAUUUCAUCAGCUGAACUCAAUAUAAUUCUCAGUACAUCUGGAUGCUACUGCUACUGCCCCUUGCAUAGAGUUGCGGAGGAAAUCUCCUCUACGUGGUGCAAGAAUAUCUUUACUUUCAUCAACUUUCCACAAUCAAAAUGACGUUAAUGGACGAUCAAUCCAGCCGUGCAGCACAGAAAAUAAAAUAAUCGUCGACAGCUAAACCAGUUCCAUAUCCAACGGGGGUCAUCACAAAGGAAAAGGAGUAUCCCAAACCUUGAGAAAUUAUUUUCACCACAUUGCCUUCGAGCCAGAACUGCGGUCAAAUAAAACAGAUUUCUGACAGCAGCAGAUUUCCACAGGAGAUUGUCAAUAUUCAGGCUGCUCCAGUCAGGAAAAGUCCUAAAAUUUACAGUUAAAAGCCAUCCAUCCAGUCAGUCAUUCAAUUGUAUAGAACCUAAUUUUUUGUACAGCAUGUAAAGUGCAUAAGGGAACAAAAUACUCAUAUUCAGCCAAAGAGAGAGAACUAAUUGACACCAGGUACCAGUCAGGGUAAAGCAUGCCCUCACUGCCAUAAAGCAAUUGGCAAGACUGAUAUAGUUCAAAGAAGGAAUACCAGACGGUAGUGGGAUUCAGAAUUACAUUUUUUGGGCUCGUUUCACUGAUCCAAGUGACAAUUUUUUAACAUCAUCCAAGCAGUAAUACAUUUUGUAAUUUCCAUUUGCAAUUUUUAAAUCCAAUCAAUAUAGACUGAACAGAAAAUUACCGCACCCCAACCCCAACCCCCAGCCCAAAUUUACAUUCCUACAAGUUUUACACCUUUAAAUGCUAACCAACCCAUCCUAAAGUUCCCUUAAGCAACUGCUGUCAAGAAUUUCCGUAGGCACUUUUUCUACUACAUCACCCAAUGAACUCAGCUAAUUUGCCCCUUAUUCCCUCCAUACAUUUUCAUCCCAUAUUUUCAUUCGUAAUCAUGACAUAUUAGGUCUCAAGCCCCUACACCAGGGGCAUAACAUUCAAGUCCCAGAGGCAUAAACAAACUACAAAUAUAUUUCAAUUGGAAUAAAAAAAUUUAAACACGAUAUUUUUUCUUUGGGGUGGGAGAGCUGGGGAGAAAGAAAAUACAGCAAUUUCCAAUAUGUAUACUACAUAAUAAAAGAGGCAUAUUGCUCUACCCAUCAUGAGAUUGUCAAUUACAUUUCCAUUCUAGAUAGCAGCACCUUAGCUUGUGAAAUUUGUUUUUUAUACAAAAGAGAUUGAAAGAUAUGUUUAGGCAGUGUGGGUUUCUUAUUAUCAAAUGGAAGCUUCAUUGAAAGUCUGUGUUGUCCUCGCAUCUUUAACUUGUUUAGUGGGGCUUUUGCUUGGGAAGAAAUGGGGCUGGUUUCUCAGAAUUAAAAGAUGGAGAGUCCAAAUGGGUUGUCAACUUUCUAUAUCACGAUAGAUGCAAAAAUGACUUCUUUAUCCACAAAUCCCAUGCCUUACAAUUGUCUGAGUAAUGAAGACACAACCCGCAAAAUUAUAGUACUGGUAUGGGAGUUGCCAUACAAGUAAUGUGUAGGCGCCUUCAAAAUUAUGGAGAGGAUGACAAGCAACGCAUAUGAAAGGCAACAAAUCCAUUGUUUCUCUUCUUUUUUCCUUACUUUUUUUUUUUUUCUGGUUAUAAAAAACAAGGAGGCUGAUCUGCUGCUUUCUAUUUGCAAGGAACAUUACCAAGUACUCCAGAUUGGAAAAAUAAAUAAGUCGGAUGCUAUAGAAAGUAGAAUUUGCAUGCUUUUAUAUUAGUGAAUACAUUGAACUUGAACAACUUGAUAAUUUUUACCUACAGUUUUGAUAUGGUCUGCAUAGCCACGCCUCAUUAGGAUAUAGAACUAGAAAGGGACUGAACCUGAAUCUCUUUUAAGUUUUAUCUUUACCAUUUUGAUAUGAUUUGUUAUUUUAUAACAAUGGUACCACAUGCAGUCCAACUAGUGUUGCUAUAAGGUGAAAGUGAGCGAGUGAACCCUCCCUCCCUAAACUCAUUCAAAAGCUUGGGUAGAAAAAUUGGCCAACUUGAUACAAGGUUCUAUAAACAGGUCAAACUGAACUUGAUACAAGGGUGCUACACAUAUAAAUAUUGUCGUUGCGCUGCCAUGGAAGUGGCUCUAAUACUACCACUGCCAUCAAUGCCAGCGUCGAUACCAAUGUCACCGACAGAACUAUGUCAUUAUCAACACUGACAACAGAACCACGCUGGAAAUAGACAUUGACAUAGGCACCACCAUCCUCAUACCAUAAUACUUGCAACCAUCACAACCACUGUAUCACAACUAUCACCAUUGUCAUGCACCAUCAUUAUUAAGCCCUGCCCACUAGUAUUGCCAUGACCACCACUACUGAACUAGCAUUGCCAACCUAACCAUGCUGGAAAUAGACAUUGACACAGGCACCACCAGCACCACCGAACCUUUACUACCUCCAUCACUAACAUCACCAAACAUGUAUUCAAAAACAUCUCACAAACUGGACUUUUCAUUAGAAUUGCCUCACUAAAAUUAUUAACCAAAAUUUUUGCUUAACUUCUAGUAUUCUAGUUCUAAAUUUAUGCAUUUGUAAUGUUACUUAGUAGUAACAAUUCGAAAUUCCAUAAUCAUCAAUACCACCAUCAUUGCUAAUAAACCCAUGUCACUAAACCUUUUAUUCAGUAGUAUGUACCCAAUUUAAGUUUUAUCAAGAAAGAUCACUAAAUAUUUCUGAACUAUAACCAAAUUUGUUAACUUUUAGCUCCAAAAUUUUAGCACUAUCAACUCAAUCUUCAACGUUAUACCAUUUUCUGGAUGCAUCAAACUUUGAAGAAAGCUCCAAUCUUGCCAGUAAAUCAUGAUCUCCAAUUCCAAACUCAUUCAAAUAAAUGUCUAAUUGCACAUCGAAUAUUGACUCUUAUUAAUAAAUGAACAAAACUUGUGGGAACAUUCAGCGUUCAUACCUUAAAACCUGAGGAAGCGAAACGCAACGAGACCCUCAAACAUGCCCAAACACGCCCCAGCGCAAACGUCGGUGACGAAAUGCCUGCCCAGCACAAUCCUAGAGAAGGAGGUGGCGUAGGCCCAGGUCCAAGCAACCAAGACCAAAACACUAAUGGCGCUGACGGGGUCCGCGCCGAUCCAGCGGUCAAUGAACGGAGACGUUGGCCGGAGGAGCGCGAGGGCAUCGGCGAGAGCUGCGGCGGAGAGGUGGAGAAGGGCGGCGACGAAGCAGACCCUGGAGGCGUGUCCGCUGGGGAAGGAGAAGUGGUCGACCGAAACGGCGACGUUCAUGUUCUUGUUGUAGAGAGGGCGGGCGCGGCGGAAGAGGAGCUUGAUUAGGCCGAUGAGGGCGAGGUCGAGGAGGAGGCCGAGGAUGAGCGGGGAGAGGAGAGGGCGGAGGAUUUGAAUUGGGCUUAGGCUUGCGCCUGGGCCUGGGAUUUGGAUUGGGGAUGGGGUUAGGGUUAGGGUUGGGGCGAGGAGGAGGGAGAGGGAGAGGGGAAAGAAGAAGCGGAAGUCGGCGGAGAUUUCGAGGAGGAGGAGGAUGAAGUGGGGAAGGAAAGGUUUGGCGAGGACAUGGAGACGUUGGGAGAGCGUCGUGUCGAGAGUUACUAAGCGGCGGUGGAGUGGCGGCCGCGGCGGUGGCUGUGGCGGUUUGGUGGUGCUCUUGGAUUUGGGUGGUGGCGAUGGCUCCAUUGCUGUAGUGUCAGUCAUUGGCCGUUGGGUUUUGACAGUUGAGAACUAACCAACGGUUAGUUAAAGGGUGAGUUUGGCGGGCCAGAUUUGGAUUUAAAGAAGGUUUUUUUCUGAAUUCAUGGCCCAUAGAAACACAUUUGGGUGACUGAAAAAUAAUUUUGAAAAUAAACAUUGGCCCAGUAUUAGAGGAUUGUCGGCCGAGCUUGCAACCCUAGUGGGGCUUUGAGGUGCUGGAACAUUGGCCCAGUAUUAGCGGCUUGGGUUUGGGAUGCCUAUCUAUUGGCCCGCCAUUCCAAGCCAAGGGUUGAACCUUGUGGCUCGAGCGAAGGCUCUGGGUCACAGAGUUUCUAAAGAGGAGGGAACCGGAUAAGGUUGGCUUCACAAAGCAACAACUACCUCCCGCUCUUGGCCGUGGAAGGAUUACAGAUCAGUGUCACAUGGAUCCACCAUGGCCCUCUAUAUUGUCCCAAUUGAACUAAAAUCUUUUACAAGUAACUAACGGAGUCUAACUCAAUGAAAAUAAUAUUGACUUGUAGACUAAUAGUCUCAGUUUCGAACUCCAGUCUUUGAUAGCUUAGUAGUGUGUGUGUGUGUGAAAAACCACUCCCCCUUAUAAUUUAGACUAUCGCUUGUAUUAAUAAAAUAAAAUAAAAACCAACUAGUUAUUAAUUUAAUGAUAUUUUUUCACAUAACAUUAGCACUCUCCUAGAUAAAGUUAUAGUCAAUCAUGAAUGAUUGUUGUCUCAUUAAAGAAAUGUGGAUUGAGUCAGUCGAUCUUAUUUCGGUAUGGCUAACUUUUAUCUUGUUUCGAUUAGGCACUUAACUCAUUAAAACUGAUUGAAUCAAACUGACGUACUCUGAUUUGGUACCUUUUUUUUUUGUUGUCAAAAUCGAUGAUAAACCGAACCAAUUCUCUCAUCGGUUUUUAAAAAUCAAAAUUGGGCGAGUUCAUCAAACCGAAGAGCCUCUAAUAUACGGCGGUUCAAUGUCGGUUUUCCGAGAUCACUUACCUAUGGCGUUGGCUCAGUGGCCUAUUCGACCUAGCCGGUUUCAUUUUUCCAUGGCCAAGGGUCACAAUAUGGACCAAAAUCUUGACCAGGCCACUGAUGAUCCAUCUGGAGUCUAUAGGCCAAUAUUACUGCUGCAUGCCCGUGCACUCAUAAAAUUUUGAAUUUUUGAAAGACAUCGGAAAAAAUGCAAGACACCAGGAAAACUGGUAAUGAAAUAAUAACUUCCAUAGUAGGAGAAAAUGCAAUUAUACUUUUUGUCAUCGUGAAGAAGGAACCAAUUCAAAUUAUUUAUCAAUUGGGAUAAAACAAGACAAAAAAUGAAUCAAUAAUGGUUAGGAUUUUGGAAGAGUAAUAGUUUUAAAAUCUAUUGCAUGAUAAUUUGACCCUAGUUAUGGAGAACUGGAGAAGAUGAUAGGCCAAAAGUCACCUUAAAAUAUGGAGAAAUUGCAGCACAUAAAAUUCCAAAAACGUUAAUUAUUGAGCUUGAAUCAUGUGCAUUGCCUAUAUAUAUAGUUAUUUUCUGAUUCGGAUGUCUGUACGUUAUUAUCGUGCGGAUGCUAUUGUAAACAUGCAGGAAAAUAAGAAGGAUUAAUACAAAAUACAUGACGUUUGCACGAUAAUAACAUCUGAAUAUCCGCAUUGGAGAAUUUAUAUAUAUAUAUAUAUAUAUGCGCCCAUGCUAAUGCUAUAGUCCCUAUGGUUAUGGAUGUCUGCAAAUUGGCCAUCUUCUUUUUCCCAUUGGACUUUGACUUGAAACCUAUUAUUCUAUUGUAUACUUCAAUCAAAAACAAUGUCAUAAUGUCUCAUUAGGCUUAACAAAUGUUUAAAUAUAGACAUAAUUUGUAUGCACACAAAAUCGUGCAAUGAACAUUAUUCGUAGGGUUUUUUUUUUUUUUUUCCUGGCUUCAUAACAAUGGCCUUUGAAACCAAUGAUUGUCCAUGGAAUGAUUCUGAGCCUCAUUUAUUCACGCUGAGUGAGCAACUCUCAUGUUAUGUCCAAUAUCCCAAGUAUAUGUUAUUUGCAAUAGCUCAUUAACAAUGUAUGAGGUUCUUGGGUGAGUAGAAAUACAACACUCACCAACUUUAACCAAUCAACCAUACUCAAGAGAAGAAUCCUAAGUCAUAUUCAACAAGUUGAAUCUUUUACAAGUGAUAGGUCAUGAGUGAGUACGUAAGGCCAAGUCCAUGUCCAUACAAGAUUGGCAAGCUGAGGCCAUUUUCAAGGCUCACGGGCAAGUCUUUGUCUAGAUCUCAACCAUCAGAAAAAUCCAACACAUAUUGGCAAUUGAAGGCAGAUCAAAGGUGAAUAUCAAGGAAGUUAAAUCUCCAACAGCAGGCCAUAGACAGGACCACCAAAUUCUGGGUCCAAACCAAACCCUCUCUCUCUCUCUCUCUCUCUCUCUCUUUGCCAUCCUUAAUUACUGACAAUGCUUAUCUGAUCAUAUUUCAUCCAUUUCUCAAAGCUCUUGUUGGCUCUAGGGCAGCCCAACUCCUUGCCAAAAUGUUGCAUUUGUUUGAUUCAAUAAUGAUCCGAGAAUCACUCUCCACCCGACAUUGUGUAGUUAUGAUCCUGCAUCAUCAUCAUCAUCAUCCUGGCCUUACCCACUGUCCUAAUUUUUAUCAUUUUGAAUUAUAGAUUAGUUAAAUAAAACUUCUGAUUGGUUUAGGCGAAGCAAUUAUAACCUGCAUCAUGGCAAAAUAUAUAGCCUAAUACAUAAUGAUUGAAGAGAUCAAAAGAUUGUGAGUGGGGUGAGGUGGGUCAAAUAUGCUAAGAAGUCUCUAGUGUACAUUUGGAUAUAAAAGGUUUUCACAUGUAUAGUUCUUGAGAAAUAGGAUGCCAAUGGGACAAGUCCCAUUCCCAAGCUGCAUUGAUGGGAGAUUUAAAUGAUGUUCGAGAUCAAGGUGUAUAAGAAUUUGUGCACGUAUUAAAUAAAGCAAGGAGAGAUUCAGGAGAGAUGGAUUUUUUUAUCUCCAAAACCACAACAUCGCAUUGAUGUUUCCAUGACCCAAAGUUUGGUCAAAAGAUAUGCCAUUAAAACCCUUAAUUAGGGUAAGAGAAAGACACAUCUCCCUUUGAAAAGCCAAGGUCUUCCCUUUUCCUUUUAUUAUUUUCUUUUGCUCUCAUCAUUGCUUCUUUCUCCAUAGAACUCUCUUUGCUUGCUCUUGUUGAUAACUCUCCAUAAAUUGUGUCACCUACCUCAAUACCUUGCUUAGCUUUGUAGUAAGACGAAGCUUUUAUGUUUUUUUUCUUCCUUAUUAAACAAAAAGACUCAACCAUAUAAAACCCUAAAAUGUGUGUUUUUUUAAAGAAAAAAGUAUUACAAAGAAAAUUUGUGACGGAUCUGAAGACCAUGCGAAUCAAAGUUAACUCUUUAACUAAUAUCCACGCGAAGAAGAUUCGCGACGGAUUUGAAACCAAAUAGGAUGUGAAGACCCUAUCAGUAUAAUUUCCCUUAUUGACUAAGGAAUCUACUACUAUAUUAACUUCCCGAUAAAUAUGCUGAAAAAUAAAACACUAAAAUCUAAACCUAAUUUGAAAGAUAGCAAACCAAAAUAGAAAAAAACAAUUGAAAUUUUGGAGGUCCAACUCCAAACCAAAUACACAGCACGCUUUGGAUAUAACGCAGUUCCCGGGGAUGGCUUCAAAAACAGGCGUGAGAGCAAAGGCUGUCAAAACUCCACAACCAUAUGGUUUGCUUUUUGCACUCCUAAACCAUGCACUUCUUUUAACUAAUAACACCAUACAGAAUCUCAUAAUCACCCUAUCAUAAAAAGCACAAAGAAGAUGAGUUUAAUUCGAAUUUUGCCCAUUUUGCCCAAAUGGGUCGUCCAUAAUUAACGAUUUCUCAAGGUUUUUGGACCAUUUGGUGUUUAGGAUGCCUUAAUAUAAUCAUGUUUUAGUUGAUUAAGCUUUGAUUAUCUCAGUAAAAUUGUCUCCUUGUGUAGCUACAAAAGGCCAUUAUCCCAAUGAGCACAAAACUUUGUGCAAAACCCCAACUUGAUUAGUGCCUAAUUUGCCAACGGGUUAGCUAUAGCUACAGUACAAAAAAGAUAAAUAAAAUAAAUAAAAAACUUGUGGAGAAGUUGUCGUUUUACUAGUUUAAAUUUCAGGGCUUUUUUAGAUGCACUCUCUGCCAGUUUCCAUUCUCUUCCUAGUUUCUAUUCUUCUAUUCUAUUCCCACUUCAAACUCCUAUAAAAGAUUCCACCUCAUUCUGUCCCCCUUACUCUUUUACAAUAUGGAAUUUGGAAAAUAUAUUAAAAUUAUACAAUAAUCUCUUUGCAACUUGCAUCUUCAAAUCAAUUAUCAAUUAUAAUUUAAAAAAAUUUGCAUUCUAUAUACUAUGCCAACUAUGAGUAUCCUUAAUUAACAUUUUUAUACAAGCGAUAAAAUUUUAAACUAAUCAAAAUUAUAGAUAGGGGGAUUCAAACUCGAGUUGGAGAGUGGGAAACACAUUUGCUAAACAACUUGGUUAGGUCUAUAUCUGCUUAUGUGGCAUAAAUUAAUCCUUCAAUCAAGCGCUCCAGUUAUAAUUCUUGAACAAUACAAGAUUUAUUUUAUUUUAUUUUUCCUGAUGAGCCCUUUGUCUGCAAGUGUGAAGAGGGGGAGAAAAAACCAAGGGAAGGAAAAAUUAGGGUUCAGAAACCCCACCAAGAAAUGUGAAAUGGUUAUUAUUUCUUUGAUUUCAAGGUGCAAGAAAGUCAUAAAGCUAUCUGAGGGUUAGAUAUGUCAGAGCAAGAAAGCCUUUAUUAGAAAAGGACUAGACUAGAUUAGGUACUUACCAACUAAAUGUGUAUUUUCAAAUGAAUGCAAAUAAAGUCCCUGUUUAUGGAGAUCAGUUGGGUCAUUGAUACUAAUUAACUUGAUGGGUUUGCAACUGAUUAUCAUCCACUUCUUUUUUAGUGACUAUAAUUCAAAUUUCAGAAGGAAAAAGAAAAAAGAAAAAAAGAAGAAAAGAAAAGAAGAAAUGUAUUUUGCUUUUACCAAAGGUUUAGAUUUGAGUAGUAGUUUCUUUCAAGGUCAUCAUUGUAGUAUAGCAGGUCUAGUGCACUGCAUUUCAAUUUUCAAAAUCAUGGAGAGAGGGCCAAAAAGAUGGGAAAAUAGAGAGGUUUUUGAAUUGUUUUUUACCCAUCCACAUUUUGAUUUCGACAAACUGGUGCUGAAUCACUUAUUAUAUUCGUAUUCAUGUGAGUCGAAUAGAAGACCUACUACUUAAUUAGGUGGACAAAACUACCUCUAGCUUAGACACCGAUUAUGAAACAAAAAUAAAAGUUGAAUAUGAUACAAUGUGAUUAGAAAUGAGCAAACAACACAUUUAAAUGUUUUCAAACGGCAAAAAAUAAAAGCACUUAAUUAGGUUUUAAACCUCUCAUUCCACAAGUAAGCUAAAUAAAAAGCAAUAAAUUAAGAAAAAAAUUCAAAAGCUAAAUAAAAAUGAAAUGUUUUCGAAAUCAUGAUGAAGAAGAUGACCAAAUGUAACCCCAACCAAAUGCAAAGCUAAUUAAUCAUGUACGUCCACCAAACUCCCAUCUCCCACAUAAAAUUCAAAUACCACAAGAACCAGAGUAACUAGACACAUCUCUCUCGACCUCCCUGUUUUGUCCCAUCAAAUUAAACCCAUUUAUGGUGACAUUUGUUUUCUUUGAGCAGCAUGCUUCCUCUCUCAUGAAGAGACUGAGAAAUCCACGUGGGUAAUUCCAAAAUCCUCAGAAGGGUAGUCCAGUCAUUUCACACCCGGUCACGUAUCCGGUUGAAAGUUAGAAACCCCCCCUCCCCCCAUUUAAUAAACGCGCCAUAUCUCUCUCCUCCUCCAUUUCAUUCUUUUCUUUUCUCCCAAGACAAAUGAAGAAAACCAGAAACAGAGAAGAAAAAGAAGAAGAAGAAUAAGAGAGCUCAGCACUGAACAAACAAACCCAUUCAAACCCUAACCCAGAAAACACAGCACCGUGUCGUUUUGAGUUCCGUACAAUAAUGGCGAGUGGGUGGGUGAAGUCGUUGCAGUGCAAAUCCAGAGCAUUCGAAGACGUUUACCACCCGACCCCGAAAAAUCUCAUGAACAGCGCGAGUUGCAGACAAAGCGUUCAGAAUAUCAAAGACGUCAUCGACACCACAAAACACUACAAGCCCAGAAAGCUCAAGCCGCUACCGCCGGCGGGUCCACCACGUCCGCCAUCCAAACGACCCGACCCAAAAUCCCAACUACCCACCAAACCGGAACCCGAUUCAAGCCCGGGUCAGCAAACCCGAACCCGACCCAAGCGACCCCACGACCCGUUUCUACCGGCCCUGACCGAGCUCCCGGAGGGCCACCCUUCGCGCAACGUCGUGGAGAUUAUCUUCCACACCAGCUGGAGCCCCAAGGCGUUUUCGGGUCGGAUCGACAUGAUAUUCAAGGUGCAGAACGGGUCGAAGACCGUUGCCCGGUUCGAGGAGUACAGGGAGAGCGUGAAGGCGCGGUGCCGGGCCGGGUCCAAAGGCGGCGCCCAGUGCGAGGAGGAGAAUGUGCGGUGCGUCGCUGACGGAAACGAGGUCAUGCGGUUCCACUGCCUGGGGCCCACCACCUCGGGCUUCGGGGUCUACGACACGUGCGGUGGCGCGUGGGGGUUUCAUGGAGGCAAGGGCAAAGCGAUUUGCACGUUCUCUGGUAGCGGCGUGGCCCACGAGAAUGCGGGUGCAGGUGGUUCCAGGGGCCGGAGGGCGAUGCUGGUUUGCCGGGUCGUUGCGGGUCGGGUCUCGAAGCAGCUGGAGCUCGAGUCGUUGUUAGAUGGCCGGGUCGGGUUUGGGUUCGACUCGGUGAGUGGGGACAACGGCGAGUUGCUAGUGUUUGACUCACGCGCGGUGUUGCCUUGCUUUCUUAUCAUCUAUAAACUGUAAAAUACAAUGUUUCUUUCAUCCUUUUUUUUAUCUUUUUUCCGUUUUUUUUAAUUUUUAAAAUUUGUCCUGUUAUAUAUUUUUGUGAGGUUUUGAUCACAUCUUGUUCUUGCAUUUAUCAACUCAAUUUUUUUUUCUUCUUUUGUUUUUUUGGAUAUUUUGGUGUGAUUAUUGAAAAAAAAAAAAUUGAGUUGAUAAAUGCUUAAUUAUCCAAUUUGCCGUUUUUAUUCUUUUAUGAUUAAUGCUACGUCUCAGUUUAACUGUUUCACUUACGGAAUUAAUGGAUUUUAUUCCGUUAAGUCAUUCAAAACUUCACUAGAGAGCUUUCACAUGUUAGGUUAGUUUGUUUGGUAAUAAUGUUAGUAAAAUGAUUUUCUAAUAUAUGAUAAGGAAAUUCGAACUUUAGUGCAAGGGACGAGCAAAUUGCUGCCCAACCCAUAUCUACCAUGAGAUGAUGUUAAUCACAAUUCACAAUAACAAUAUAAUCAUCGAAAUGUUUUCCAAAUUUUAAGAAUGGUUAAAAAUUGGCUUUUUUUGAAAAAAAAAAAAUACAAAACGAAAUUGGGAAAUGAGGUUAUCAAAACUUAACUACUUGUGCAAUAAUUCAUUUACAUGUAGUUUUAAUUCUAUGACAAAGUAUAGAGUGAGCACUUAAUCUAGUCUUAUAACAGUCACCAAGAAACAUAAUGAUGAUGCUUAUGGACUAAGAGUGUUACCUGCACUAGUAAACAAUAAAAUUUGUUAUUCUAAUUAUGAUGGCAAUCUGCUCCCAAAAUAUAUAUACUGAUGGCAAUGAAAAUCUGCUCUAGAAAUGUAACUUAUAGUCAUAUAAUUUUUUUUGACUCACCAUAUUCAUAAAAAAUUUCAGUAAUAAAUUUUUCAUUAGACAUAAUUACAAUUGUCAUCCAUAAAUUUACAAUAUCUACUUCAAGAAACACUUAUAUUUAGAGAAGAAGAUUUCAUAAUAACAAAAGUUAGUUGGGAAUACUCGAACAAUGUUAUAUUCUAAUCCAAAUUCAUUGGUAAUGAUUGUAGACAAAGCAUGCAUUCAAAACUUAGCAAAUUAGAUCAGUCUCUAUUUUUCUUUUUCUUUUUUAUAGAGAUGCUAUCCUAUUCAAGGGCAUCUUAUAACAUAUAACUGAUUACAACUUCAGAACUAAGUGCUUUUUUUACACAAAAGCGAUAGGAUUCAAUUGAUUAUGAGGUAUGAAACAAAUGCAAAAAUUGGGCUAUAUCCUAGAGGAUUAGGCGAGUAUCUCUACAACAAAUGGGCGUAUGGUCGUCAGACAACAUAAGUAGCCUACUGCCUCCAUUAGAGCACCCAACCUCCCCUCCCCCACAAUGGUCGUCAGACAACAUAAGUAGCCUACUCUUGCCUCCAUUAGAGCACCCAACCACCCACCCACACCAAACCCAACCCCCCUCCCCCUCUUCACAAAUCCUCAUAGAAUCAUGCCCAUAAAAACUACUUAUUACAAUCCUUAAAUAAAGGGAGCUGAUUUUCCCACUCUUCUUUUGUCCACUUACACUCCCUUUGUUAAAAAUUGUAUGUUCCCACUCAUUUUUUGUUCACUUACACUCCCUUUUUUUGUUAUAAUAAAAACUAUUAAAAAAACAAAAGGGAGUAAGUGGACAAAAGGGGAGUGAGAAAAUUACCACCCUAAAUAAAACAUCAAUAAGAAAAUCUGAUGGUUCCUCAAACUAGUUAAGUAUAAGUUCUGAGCAAUUUUGACCUCUUUGGGCUACAUGCUCUAGAGGCCCCGUUUAGUUCAAGGUUUAGGAGUUUGGGAAUAAGUUUGAAAUUGUAUUCCUAUGUUUGGCAAGUGCACUCUUAGGAAUGCAAUUAUGAACUUCCCAUGUAGCGGGAAUUUCAUACCCUUGGCCGAGCUUGGGAAAAUUCCCCCCCCCCCCCACUUGAGAAAGCAUUUAAUGCAAAUUUUUAUGACUAACUUACUCCUAUUCUAUUUUUAAAAUACCAUGUUUUACCCUUAGAAAAACUCUUUAAAUUUCUUUCUUUGUAAUUUAAAAAAAAAAGGUUUAAGUGUAUUGUUGGAAAACUGAAUAAUACUGCACAAAUAAAAAAUGGGAAUGGGAUAAAAUGGCCUUUCUUGAUCAUCAUUUCCGAAUGUUUUGAAAUUUGGGAAUGAACAUCCUCCAUUCCCAUAUCAUGGGAUUAGACAUGGGAAGUUCAAUCUGCGAACCAAAUAAGCACUAGAGGUUUUGUCUUGUAAUUUUCUUUUUUGCAUAAAAAAAAUCAGCAAUUAUAAUUUUACAUUGCUUUCAAAAUUUUAUUGUCUUACUACAAAUCAAAACUAGAGAACUUAAGAGGUUGUUUGAUAAACAUUUUAUUUUCAUUUUUUUUUAAAAAUUGAAAACUGAAAACAUGUUUGGUAACAUAUUUGUUUUUAAGUUUAAAAAAAAGUGAAAUCUAGUUUUUAGAAUCACCCUUAUUUUUUUAAAACAACUUGAAAGUGUUUUCAUUUUUAUUUGUGCACAUUUUUCAUUCACUAAUUUUACAUCACCGCACAUGAAAUGCACUCCAAUUAUCAAAACUCAGUAUUUGGGGCCUCUGGAUUGGACCCGGCCACUUGAUUCUUGCAUUCGUCUGUGGACCUAGCCCAAGCCUCGAGACCUCCAAAUCCAAAAUUCAUUGAAAAAUACUACGAACUCUUUGUAACAUGUGCUUUCAUUUUAUGAUCUCAAAUUCACAACUUGACCCCAAAAAAUUUCAUUUCCAUGUUCGAAAUAAAAUAUAAAACUGAAAACUGAAAUCUGUUACUAAACAACUUUUGUUCAAUUUUCAUUUUUUUUAUAUAAAAAAAAACUAAAAUUAGUUACCAAACAAGUUUUUAAUUUUUAAAAAAUUAAAACGAAAAACAGAAAUGACUAUCAAACGGGCCUGUGUCGGUGGAAAACAUAUUCACCAGCAACAUGCAUGCAAGUCUCAACAUACUAUUUAUUCUACAUACACAUCCUAAGAGAGAGGCUAUUAUAUAUAUAUAUAUAUAUAUAUAUAUAUAUAUCCGGCGCAUAUGAUAUUUUUGCAGUAGGAUUGUAAAGAUAGAAAUCCCACUGCACCUAUAAGCAAACACUUAAUGUCAAUACCAAAAUUUUCCAGAUUUGAUUACAAGUGUUAGAAACUGAAAAGACAAGCAAAUGAAUAGCAUAGAUGUGUUUUUAUUCCAUUAGAAGAAGUGGUAGCUGUGUUGUUAUGUUUUAAAUUUCUGUUAUUUGGUAAGAGGCUUUACAUUUGGUGGUGUUGUUGAAGGAUGAAGAGAAAUCCAAUAAAAGAAAUUUAGGAUGAUCAGUAGAAGUCAGUAGGGUUUCUUGGGUCCAUAGAUGUCCUUCUCAACUGCCCAAGCUUUUGGUUAAUUUGGCAAAGUACAGCGCAAGUCACGCAACUGCUGCUAAAACAACACUUGUCUUAGGAGAAAAUGAAAGGCUUGACAAGGGUGGUGUAUGGUCACAAUCUAUGAUGUAAACCUUGUGACCUAUAAAAUGUAAUUCUACUUACCAAAAAACUCUCUUGCCCCCAUCCUUACGUAUGUUUUCAAAGUCAAGCAAAAUAAAAUAUUCCAUCUACUAAAACACAUUGAUUCUGUAUUCAAAAGAGUUGAAAGAUUCUCUAUGGAAGAGAGCAAAAAACAAAUGAGAAUUUGCCUUGAUGUAAUUUGACUUGGACCAGGGUGUUCCUAUUUGCAUUGGGCCAUGGUGACAUAUUGGUUUACUGGAGACCACAUAUUUUAAGUGGCCCACGAGAAAACAUGCUCAGUUCAUACAAAGUUGAACACAAUAACUUUUGAUCAAGUGAUGAGUGAUGGAUCAAGCUAACAACAUUACUACAGCUGGAUUGGGAAUUCAGAUAUGUUGAACUUGUAUGAACCUCAACCUGAGUUUGAUCAUAAAUUCUCAAAUCAAGGUCAAACUCCCUCUAGCUUACCCACUCAGAUUUCAAGUUUGCUUCAAGUGCAAGAAUCACUAAGAAACAAUGCCUAUAUAUACGGCUCUGAACUGAGAGAAACAAAAUGAGGGGGUUACAUAAAAUUGAGUUCAUGGAAAAACAAAGAAAAUGAGUCCUGCAGAAGUUUUCUCAAAUCGAACGGUUUCCAUAAUUCAAUGGUCUAUGCUCUACUAGUACUAGCUAAAAUGAGGGGUCUCAGCAACCAAGGUUUAUCAAAUUUCAUUAAUCAUUGAAACAGGGAAAAGGGAAUGGCUGGGGUGAAUCAAAUCAGAUUCCGGAUAUGGGAGUAGCCCAGAAUGUGCAUGUUCCUCAUGCAGCACCGACACAGAUGAAUCAUAUAGUCUUUUGCCCGGAUCAGUGGUAUUCAACUAGUACAUACAAUGGCUUGCCGUUCAAUCGCACACGACCCUGCAACAUCAGGAAGCAUGAAGUCACUGGCAAUGGUGACACAAAACAUAGCAAUGCAGAAGGGCCAUAGGGUUCUUUCUUUCAUAUUGUAAUCAUAAAACUGAGGAAAGCCGAGAGCUAAACCAACUCACCUGUAAAUCUGGUAAUUCAAUUACACAUGCACAUUCAACUACUUCUGCUCCAACACGUUCUGAGAGGAAACAUUUAAUUUUACCAAAUCAGCACUAAGGUCUUACAAGCAUCCACAAAUUUAAAGUAUGUUGAAAUUUGCCAAGGAACAAAGCAAGCAAUCCAGAAAUCCUGCCUCCAAAUUUAAUACAACAAUUAGUUGAUUAAACCAAAGAGAAUUUUGACGAAUAUAACAUGCAUACUUAAUAACCUAGAUGACAAAAUAGAACUUCAAAGAAUCAAAAGACUACAAUUCAGUAAGUUUUCUCAGAAUUUAGACUCUGAUCACUUCUAACUUCUAACUAAGCAAAAUAUCAUGAACCAAAAAAGUACUAAAUGAAAAUUAUGCUUUUCAAGAAAAAAGCCAAACAUUUGAAACAAAAAAACAGAAUAGAUAUUUAAUUUGAGCACAGCUUGGACAUCUGAACUGAAAUAUGAACUUGACACAGAUCACCAAUGGAUGCACCGGUGACUAGUCCCAUAUAAAACAUGAAUUCUUCCAAUAUUUUAACCAACAACUUGUUUAUAAUACUAAAACAAGUGUAAUUACCCAAUAAAUUCAUUGCAGCACAGAGUGUGCCUCCUGUGGCUAUUAAAUCAUCAACCACCAGAGCUCGCUCACCAAGUUCUACUGCUCCAACAUGCAUCUCAAGACGGUCCCUUCCAUAUUCCAAAGUGUACUCUUCAAAAAUAACAUCUCCUGCCACCAUGGAAAAGUUUUUCAGCAAUCCUAAGAUUAGUCACAACUUCAAAGAUGAGACUUAAAAAUCUCAAGAGGAAAAAGAGAUUCAAAACUAUACGUAAGACAGCCCUCUUAAAUGUGGUUCCCAAGGCACAUAACUGCAUGUCAGAUAUUAGAACAUUAAAAGUUAAAAAUAUAUAAGUUCCGAAGUAUCAGGAGCAUCAUUAACUAUCUGGACAGUAUACAGCCCUAAAAAAAAAUAAAAAAACACAGCUCUGCAGUUCACUGAAGAAAUAAUCACUAGAUAAAUACGGCAUGGUGGAAGACAUGCAAGGACUGGCGAGGACAGAAACAGAUAUAUUUUAAAGCCAGAAUUGGACAACAAAACCACACUAGAAGCAUGUAACAUCAUAAAUUAUCAAGGACUCAUAGUUCAUAUCAAGGCAGUUCCAACUUCCAAGCAGUGUCUUCAAGCCAUCAUUCAUCAAGGGCCCAAUUCAUUGGCAUUAUAAUUACAUCCUCUUUUACACAAAGGAUACACUGGAGAAAUAAUAUCCCUUUAAAUGGCGGUCUAUAAUAUGCUACUCAAGCAGAACUGUCUUGUACUUGAUCAGAAAGUCGGUAUGUGGCAUCCGUAUGUCAUAUGCGAUUACCGUUUGAAGAUAACUUUUACUGCAGACCAUCACAACCUUUGCUAUAUUGACCAACUGUAAUAUGAACAUACCAUACAUAAUAGGACAAACAUGUUCACAUACAGUCAGUCAUACCAAGAGAUGUAGACAAAAUAUCUAAUAGGAUAAAAAUUACCAGGCAACUUCCUUGGCUUUCUCAGGGGAACAAACUUUGCUCCUAUUGCCAAUGCAAUGGGAGGGCCAAAGAUAAAACCUCGAGCCUCAAUUCCUGAAAUAAACGAAAAUGAAACCUCAGAUUUCAGAACGCCAUAAGGGCUACAGAAAUGUUUUCUACUACCACAUAGAACUUGAGACUUCAAACAAUACAGGGUUAUCACUAUUCACUUAGAAAAGGCCACAACAAGCAUAAUUUCUGUGUCGAUCACUCUGUUACCAGAGCAAUAAAAGUGUACCAGCACAAAUAAUUCUAAAUGUACCAUCCACAAACAUAAUGCCAUGAAAGGAGACAAAUAGCAACACUUUUAACAUGAAAAUGGGAAUGGGAAGUAAAAAACCCAUUUGAAUGCAUCUUUAUUAUCAGGUAUUUAAGUUUCCACUAGGAUUCAAUGAUCUCUAGACAAUGGUCCAAACAAAUUCAGGUUCUCAACCCGUUGGACUGCAAUUUCCUCCACUAGGAUACAAUGAUAUCUAUAAAAAAGGUCCAAGUAUAUUCGGGUCCCCAGUGUUGGGUGUAGGUGGCUCGAUACAAGCCAUGUGUAAGUUCCACAUUGGAAAAUACAACAAUAAUCUACAGUUUAAAUAUAGGUGGUCCACUUCUAAUUGCAACGAGACCUUUUGUGAUAAAACCCCACACCUAGAGGUCCAUUGGGUCUUCUCUCUCCUUGGUGGUUAAGGUGGGGACAGUAUCGGUGCAUGAUUUGGACAGGUAGUGGGCUCCUAUUGGGCCCAUCGGUACAACACUCAGCUCAAAAGAAACAGUAAAGGACAGAUAUUCAAUUUAAGUUUCCACUAGAAUACAAUGAUCUCUAGACAAUGGUCCAAACAUAUUGAGCUUCCCAACCUGUUGGACCGUAAUUUCAUUGUCAGGUUUUUAAGUUUCUACCAGAAUACAAUGAUAUCUAUAAAGGUCCAAUCCAAGCGUAUUUAGGUCCUCGACUCAAAGAAAAGAUUACCAUAUUCAGGUCCUUGGCUCCACAGAAACAGCUAAAAUACUUUCAAGGAUAAAGAAAGAUGUUGGUAAAAAGUUUAUUAUAAGAACAGAAGAAAUUUUAAAAGAACGGCACGGUGAACAUAAUUCCCAAUGCAUAAGAAAUAUGGAAUCAAAUGUUAUGAGACAAUAAUGAAGGAAUGAAUAGGGAAAGAAAUCCUUCCAAAUUACAAUUUCUAAUGUAGCAUAAGACUACAACUAUGGAAAAGUAAAUGUAAGAGUUUAAUGAUCAAGGCUAGGACUUGGCUUCCAUGGUUAUCGAGGGCAACAUAAUACUAGGAAAUAUUGGUUCUUCUAAUAGAAAAACUAAGCACAAACAAGAAAUCAACUACAACAUCAAUUAAAAUAACAACAGAUACGGUAUGCUUUUCUUUUCAAGAAGAAAUACCACAUCUUGUCUAUGUCAGGGUGUAAUUUGCAGGUAGAUUCCCAAAUAGGUAUAAGGACUUUCAUUAACACAAGAAGACAUCUUAAGUCCACAUAAGCGCACAAAUAGAUAGAUCCUAGUGUAUACACAUUAAGACAAAACAUGCAUAAACAAUUUGGACCAAAUAAUUUGGGAAAUCAAUAUAAUAACUGAGAAUCAAGGCCAAUCAAUAAUGAAAUGGAAUUAAAUUUUCAGCUGUGUAGGACCUAAAGUGGUAUAUUUGGAUACCUAUUAUAAGUUACGAAUGAAAUGGAAAGCAUGUGAAUAUAUAUCGAUUUCUAAUGAAGUCAAUUCCGAUUAGAUUCCUUGAGGCAUAAAUGUGACUUUUACCAGCUCCACAGACACAAAGCUUAAUUUUCUUCAUAAUCUUCCACAAUGUAAUAUUUUCAAAACUAGUAGGGCCAAACAAAAGAAGCUUAAUUUUAAAAGGAACUUUCAAUGGUUCUUUUAUCAAUUUUUGAAAGGCCAAACACAAGCCAAGGCAGCAAAGAUUCAUAAAACUAUUACAGUAAACAAUUACAUCACAAUAAUAAAUUCCCUCAAUGCACAGCAACUCAAGGACACAAGGAAGGGCAACAACAUAAAGAGAAUAAAUAAGGGUCACCCAACAGUAAAGUUGGAAACCCACAUUAUAAUGAAGCCAAAAAAUUCGGCCCAAUUGAAAUGGGGGUCCACUUUUAACAAGGUGGGCAUCAUCACCAACCACCACCAUCCACGCAAAUUGGACUCAAGCACAUACCCACAAGAGAGAGAGAGAGAGAGAGAGAGAGAGAGAGAGAGAGAGAGAGAGAGCAAAUGUGAGGAGCUGGAGAAAUUUUUUUAAAGGAGAAUAAAGAAAAGAACUUCAGAGAGAGCCAUCAGUGGCAUAACGCACUAACAAGGCUUAGAGUCAAACAAAAAAUCACUCCCAAAACCCAGUGUGACUUCCAUUCCAUAAUUCCCCUUAGAAGCAUUCAAAAGGACAAGGAGAAACUUAUGCAAUAUUUAGAAUUUCUGCAUCACACAGACCUACUUUUCUAGUAAGCAUGGACCCACCACCUUCAAGCUAAUCACUGUUACAAAAAGUUCUUUAAAAGCUUUGGUCCUUUGGCUCAAAUGCGCAAAAUCUUUAAACCCCAGUUCUCCAACUAGUCCUUAACAAAAGAGAAUUAUAAAAUUUAAAAAAUAUAUAUUUUCUUAUUUUUUUUACCUGCAACCACUGAAAUGUUUUUGCCUUUGUAUCUCUCAACGAACAAAUCGAUUGUGUCCUUGAAGGCUUUUGGGUCCAGCAAUAAAGUUGUGAUAUCUUGGAACAUAAUACCUACACAGUGUGGCAGUUGCAGGACAUGAACCAAAAACAAAAUAAGCAAAUUUCCAACAGAGAAAGACAGAACAACCACAAGAAAAAAAGAAUAAACAAUCACUUCAACUGUUUGUUAUGAAAAAUAGAAGGGAAAUGAAAGGAAACCAAAAAUGAAAAUUUUCAUUUUUAUCACAAAGGCCAUCACUUUUUGCAUAAAUGAAAACCCACUUCAGUCAGGCCACAUAAUCAGGUUUUCAUGACAAAGAUACAACAUUUUUUAAGACAACUUGUUGAGUCAAAAACGAAAACGAAAAACUUAAAUAGCGCCAAAUUUUAGAUGAGAGAAAAAAGAAGAACAAACCAGGUUUGGGAAAAUUGGGGACGACCCGAAUCUUGGUUUUAAUACCAUGGAUGCGAGGAUCUUCAUCUUUGAAAACCGACAUUGUGGUGUAUGCAAGAGACCCAAAAGAACUCACUCUUUGUUUCUUCAAGUUUCCCUGACCAAAACCCAGGUCAGAAAACCGCUCUGUGUGUCUGUAUUCCACCAGAAACAGAGUGACAAAAACUCAGAGAGAGAGAGAGAGAGAGAGAGAGAGAGAGAGAGAGGGAGAGGGAGAAAGAGAGGGAGAAGCGUGGGCUCAGAGAUAAGAGAGAAGUAGUAUUUAUAGAGUGAGCAGAGAAAGUGUGCAGCGUGUUUUCAGUUUUCACUUUCCGAGAGAGGGAUGAUGAUGGUAAAAGGUGAAAAAGAAAAAACAGAGGAAUCACGAGAUCAUCCAGCCAAACACGCCCUUCUCUCUACUAGCCAGGCGCGGCUGUCUUUAGGCCGAUUUCGCGCGUUUCUUUGAGUUACUGACUUUGUGAAAAAGACUUCACGACUAAAAUAUCGAUAAUAUCGAUAAAAUAUCAAUGAUAUUAUCGUUUUUUUGGAUCUAGAAUAUUUUGAAACAUAUUUAUACACAUAUCGUAUAAGUAUCGAUAAUAUCGAAAAAUAUCGAUGUUGAUAAUUUCUCUCACACUUCAACAAUAUUUGACCAAAAUAUCGCUAUAAUAUCGAUAAUAUUGCUAAAAUAUCGAUAAUAUCGCUACAAUAUCGACAAUAUCGAGAUGACGAUGACUGUGAAAAAUUUGAAGAGUUAUUUACACUAACACCCCGAAGUUUCUUAUGUUUUCACAAAACCCCCUCGUAUCUCAAAAAUUACAUGAACACCUCCUGAGGUUUCAGUGUCUUUUCACAAAAACCCAUUUUCAUUGAUUGUUUGUCCAAAAUUGAUGAUUUCUUUGAAAAAAAAACUUAUGUAAAUGACAAACUUAACCUUAAUGAAGUAUAUGCAAUCUAAUCUCAAAUGCCAACUUUGUCAUUUGGAUAAUUUUAAUUUUAUAAAAUCAUCAAUCUUUAGAUGAAAAAUCAAUGAAAAUGAGUUUUGUGAAAACAAUUUAAAACCUCAGGGAGUGUUCUUGUAAUUUCUAAAAUCUCAAGGAGUUUUGUAAAAAAGCCGAAAACCUCAAGGGGUGUUAGUGUAAAUAACUCAAAUUUAAAUCUUAUAGGAACUUUAUGUGGUACUAAGUCACUCAUAUAUCUUACCAUGUAAUGUAUAAAUUGUAAUAUUGUAGUAAAUCAAUAUAAAUAAAUGAUUAUGGUAUGUUUAAUCUUCUUUCAUUAAUUGCUAUAUAUUUUCUACACUCGCAGUGUUUGUCAGCUCGCUAUAUAAUCAACUUAAAUCAGUUAAACCCAUCUUGCAAUGCAUUUUUUUUUUCAAUUUUCUAUGAUAAAGUAAUAGAUAAUUGAUUAAAUAAACAUCCUCCAAAGUUUCAAGAAAAAAUUUCAAGUUUUUAUUAUAAUUUUCAUGGUUUUUAUUCAAUUUUUAUCGAUAUCGAUAAUUUUCCGAUAUUUCCAUAGAAAUUUCCGUGUUUUUGGACUAUCGAUAUUUCUGAAACCAUUGAUAUUUUAGACCUUACGACAUUUUUUUUUUUGUUUUAUAAUUUUUUUUUAUGCUAUCUAGCAAUGUUGAGGGAGGGGGUUUCUCACAUACAUUAUCAAAAUAUUAUGGGGAUUUGAACUUGAGACUGCUGAUUUGCAUUUUUCCACUGAGAUAGACCUCGUUGACCACAACAUAUACUAAAUACGUUAAAUUACAGUAAUGAUUUAUGUAGUUUAUUUUUAUUUUUAAAUUUGACGAAAAUUUAUGAAGGCAUUUGAUACACCUUUCUUAAACUUUGCAUGAUUAAAAAUUGAGAAAUUUUAUGAAGAUCAUAUUCAUAUACCAUCUUGUAUAUCCCUCUAGAAAGGUACUUAUUAUAUUGGUGACAAUUUAACUAUAGUGACAUUUAUGAUUUCAAAUGGUUAAUUUCAUUCUACAUCAUCAAGUAUACAUGCAUUAUUCAAUUCAGUCAAUAAAAAGAAGUUUUAAUUGUUUAAAUUUAAAAAAUAAGACUAACUAAAUCAAAUUGUUAAUUUCAUUCUACAUAAUAAAGUUUAUAUUACUUUUUGUUUUUUCUUUCAGUCCAAAUAUGUUACAGAAAGUCUUGCAGGCUCCAUUUUCCCUCAAUUCUUAAUGUUUAUCUCCCCAUGCAUAGCUAUAGUGUCGCAGAGAAGAGAAUCAAGCCCUAAGCAGGUUCAUAAAAUCCUAUCUGGCUGCAAAUAGAAACCCUCAUAUUUCUGAUGAAAGACAUACAGCAAUAGCUAUCGAAAAGUUUUGGAGAGAGGUGAAGACCUUAAUUUCUCAAACCAACCAUAACUUUUUGGAUCUGUCCUAGUUUCUUAUAAAAUAUUUUUAGUAGCUAGCUCGGAUUGUGUACUGGUCCAUUUCAUUAGUCCAUUAUGAAUAUGUUAUUUCAACAUCCAACUACAAUUUGCAUUUGUUACAAACCAUAACUACAAUAUUGGCCAAAAUGGCCAACUUGAUAUGUCAUUAGCUAAGCUAUUAUUAAUAUGGGGAGGGGACCCUAUCUACUUUGAAAUCUAAGAUAAGGUAGCGAUAAAAACUGUGAAAACAAGUAGAUAUAAAUGUGUUUAGCCAGUAAACAUCAUCCAGAGUCUCACUUAUCUUAGACGCAUGUGAAAAUGUCAUUGUCCUCUCUAAGCUUUGUUUGAAGACACAAACAACGAAUUUUAAGAAUCUAAAAAUUAUAAUAAAUUAGAUCUUGAACUUGAUGAGUUAGAUUCUAAUCAUAAAUUUUAUUAAUAGGAACAAAAAGUGAUAGAUUGCAUAUAAGGAAAAUUCAAUUUACAAUGGGUAGGCAGGGAUGUAGACCCUUUUGUAUUCUAUGUCGUGCUCAUGUGCACUCAUUUGUUAAUUGUUUUGUGUAAUAUCAAAUAUCUAAAACCUAAACAUGGCAUGUCCCAUAGCCUUGACCUCGACCCAUUCCCAUUCAUGCUCGUAUCGUGUUUGGUCAUGCAUUAAAUGGUCUAGAACAAUGGGCCCGAUUUUAUUUAUACUUUUUAGUGUUUGAAAUUUAUCAAAGCCAAAUUGGUCAUUGUACUUAGUUUGGGCUUAUUUUGUAUUUGUACCGUGUUAAUUUGUUUAGUCUCGUACCGUGUCCUGUUUAAAUGAAUAACGAGAUAUGUGGGUAAGUGAUAAAUUUGUUGAUUUAAACAUUGUAAAUAUAUAGGACAUUUAUAUUCGUUUGGCACAAUAGUAAACGCGAUGCUUAUAACUUCACCAGUUGAGUAUUUACUCUACAAUAAUAUUAGGCACACCAAAUUUUUUUUUCCUCUUAACUCUUAUCCAACUCCUGUAUAGGAUGUGUGAACAAUGAGAUUAUCCAAUCAUAUGUAAAACUCAUGUAGGACCCAUUCUAUGUAAGAGAGUUGAAAUAAAGAGUUAGGAAAAAAGUUGGUGAGCAUUACUAUAUAUUCUGAUCAUCUAAGAGUGAGUUUCGUAUAACUUGUCAUGAUGUUAAAUAUAUAACCUCCUAGUCAUCUAUGCCACUAAGGGAGGUCUUAGUUUGGUCCAACGUACAUUCUUACCCCUUGUUACAUUGCUAAAAGUAAAUCCCUAUAAUCUAAGUGAAAUGUGGUUUUUUUAGGGUUCUUAGAUCUAAGUUCAAAACGUUUGGUUGCUAUUAGGUCUAGUUCACAUAUUUUUGCUUUUUGAUUCAAGUCAUUUGACAUUUAUUCUUCAAUUUUUAUACCAAUUUUUCCCUUUGAACUAAAAAUGAAAAUAAAUUUUAAGAAAGUGAUUUCAUGCAUCUUUUCCUCCUCAUUCAAAUGUUGACUUUUUUUUCCCCCCCUUCAUAAAGCACCUACAACAAUAAAAAGAAAUCAUCAAUAAACAAUAUAUCUAUCUAUGAGGUAAAAACUCAUUUAAAAAAUACACAAUUUUUCCUUUAACUUGUAAUCUAACUGUUGAGGCCCAAAAAGUCACGAGAAGCCUAAAAGCAUUUAAAGUCCAAUACGACAUGCGAAAAAAUUAGCUCAAUUUAAAUGCUUGGUUAUGGUUUUAACUCUUAAAUCACCAUCGCCAGAACUUCAAACAACAAAUGCUCAAUACCCGAACUCAAGCAUAUCCAUAACCAAGCUAAGCACAUGCAUUCUCAUUUGCUAAACUUGUGGAUCUUUAGCUCCCACACUCCAAGCUCUCAUGCCAAGCACAUAUAAUCUUUGUUCAACAUCAGCAAAUCACCUUCACCCAUUUUCAGAGCUACCGGAAACGUCAACACAAAAUACGCAGCUGCUGGAAGAACAACAUAGUACCAUCCUAGGACUUGCUUCUCCUUCGGUAUGCUUUGGGUCUAGUUCUCGCUAACUCGGAAAAAAAAAAAAAAAAAAAAAGAGGCAACGAAGACUUGAUUCACCAUUUUAUGGCAAUCCAAGAGUCAAUAAGUCCUGACAAGCCUUCCGAAGGAAAAAGACCCCAACACUAACUCAAAGGUAAAAACAAAGAACAUGUUAUAUAUUAUCUUACUAAAAGGUACAACACAUUAGAUAUAAUGGUGAAGGAAUGCAUAUAUGUAGAUAUAUAUAUUGGUCGAACAAUAGAAAAUAUGAAUUUAAAGAUAAUAAUAAUUCUUAACAGAAAUUGUAAUCACAAAAUACAAUAACAAAUUUACAUGAAAUUAAUGUAAAUCAACAAACACAAAUAGAAACAUUGACAAUCACAAGGCAGUUCUAUAGGCGUUCAUUUCACAGGAUUCAAUGAUCGAUAAUCCUAAAUUGAAACACUUCAAUUUAAUACUAUGGUGAACUAAUUAUAUAUUUGUACUCUCAAGACACUUAGGAAAGAAACUUGAAGAUUGAUACUUUAUCAUAGCAAGAGUGGGGAAAACUCCUUUUCAACACCACACUGGAAUGUCAUAUAUAUUUGGUUUAUAUAGAACCCAAAUAAAAAGACAAAGGCCUAUAAAGCGUCAUACCUAUACAUUAGAGACGUAAAGAGGCAAAAUAAGAUGAGAAAAAAUGCACCAUGUGAGAGACCCACAUGCUAAAGCUAAAUACCCAAAAACCAAAACCCAAAUCACCAUCCCUUUGCACCUUAUGAAGAGGUAAAAACCACCAUGAGAGGAACCCUCGUCAUCUUCUAUGCAAAGAGCAUGUAUAUGCAUUGGUCACUGAGUUUAGAGCUAAACUUUCGAUUUGAGCAUUUGUUUGCAAUGUCCAAAAGUUCAUUUCUCACAUAUGUGUGGUUGAUGACUUCUUCAUCAUUUGAGGUUCGGAAGUGGAAUCGGUAAACCAAUACAAUUGGUUGAGUAGUAUGUAAUUAUUUUUGUCUUCCUCUCAUUUCUUUUUUGUUUCCAUUGUAUCUAUUGUUGGUUCGUCAUUUUGCUUAAUUAAGCAAAAAUUUCUCUAUAAUAUGUGGUGAUGGGUUUGCUUAAUCAAGUAAGAACACAUAAAAGUCAGCUCUUAAAUGAUCAAUCACAAGAAAUAUGGAAUCUUGUAAUUAUUGUCAUAGAAAUCAGCCUAUUACCUUAUUUAUGUCUCUAAAACUUAGUGCAGUCGCAUGUAAUGGUUGGAGGAAAAUCCUAACAAAACAAAGAAAAUAGGGGAACAUUUUGUCUCUGAAAAUGGGGGAAGAGGGGAAAGGAGGAAGAGAAAAUGGGAGAAGGAAGGAAGAACAGUGGCUUCCUUCGCCCUCAAAUUGAAAAUGGCUCUAGGAAUGUUUUUUAGGAGAGAGGGGGCUAGGGCUUCUAGAGAUAUGUGGUUAAGUGAUAAUUAAACUUUGAGUGCUACUAUUUCCGCCCUAUAUCCUAUUUUCUCACCCACCAUGUAAAUUUGAAAAAACACAAUCUUAUCUUUCCACUCACCAUUAUUCAUAAAACACCCUUUAAUUAUUAAUUCAAUCAAAUUAUAUUUGCUAAUUAUUAGUAGUUGAGAUAUGAAGAGGAUGAAGUUGUGUUUGACGGACUAGAUAAAUGUUUUAGUUUAAUAUUUUGAUUUUAUGGAUCUUUUAGUUUUUUAAUUCUCUGCCUUGUAGCUUGGGAAAAUAUUAUGAAUAAAUGUUAAGAAAAAUGUACAUUUGAAAGGGUCAUUUUCUAUUGUGUUCCAUUUGUGCGUAAAAAGAGAAAGGUGAAAGGAAUAGAAACAACACCUUGCAGACCCAAAAAAAGAAAAAAGUAAUUGAACUACUCAACAUGGAAUAAAAUCAAACAAUGGGGUAAAUUUAUCUUCAUAAGUCAUUUUACAAAGGGGUAAAUUUAUCUUUAAAAUGUUGAAGAUAAAAUGGAUGGGGAAAUAGGAAAGGGGAGUGAAAAUAGCAGUACUUUUAAACUUGUUGGUGUUACCAAAAUAAAUUAAUUAGGACAAUUUAUCUUCGUUCAACACAACAAUCAAUUGUGAGACUUAUAGCUAGUAGUUGAGCAUCGUUUAUGAACAUCAUCUCUCAUAGAUUAUAAUUUUACUAGUUGAGUAUUUACUCUCAGACCAACAACCCUUGAUGGAUAAGAGUGAGUUUCCACACAACAUAGCUUAUAAAUCCCCCUCAAACCCCCACGAUCCUCCCCAAAAAAAUGUUAGUGUGAUUUGAGGACCAUUGACUUUCCUUACACACCAAGAAUUCACACAUUAAUUCUUGAUUUCCUACUGUAAAUAAAAAUAUGAAUUUAUUAUUUUACUUGGCCACCAAGGUUCGGUCGUAUUAUAAACAUGACCUCCUACAAGGAGAGGAAUACACAGAAAAUUCCCACAAAUAAAUAUUCUCUCAUAGUUUCUCAUAUUUUAGCAUGGUAUCAAAACAACGAUAUUGAGAUUGUUAACUCUAGUUUCAAACCCUUGCCGCCGCCAUGGGGGAGGAUCAUUUUUGUAUUCCUCAUGGAGGUAAUACCAUUGACCUCACCUCUCCUUCUCACCCAACCUUAGCCGAAUUGAGUGGUCAGAUGUCUCAGUUCCUAAAUAUGCAAAACCAGACCCGACUCUAGCCGAAUUGAGUGCUUAGAUGGCUCAGUUCCUAAAGAUGUAGAAACAGACCUUGAACCCGAUCCUCACUCAAGAUCCGAUCCCAACCCCGAACCUGAUCCUGACCCAAGAUCUAACCAAGAUCUCAAUUCAGACCCCGAUCUUUGAAGAAUUGAUUUUCAAAAAGACACAGAUAGAGAGAUAGAAACGUUUGCACAAAAGCGAUUGAUCGUCCAACACCGACGAUCGAUCGCAUUGAGCCUAGAACAUAAUGUUCUUCUCUGCCGAAAAUCGAUCAAUCGUCCAUUCCUGAUGAUUGAUCGCCUAACCCGUGCGAAGCUGUUUCUGAUUUGAGUCCCACUCUUACAAACAACUUAAAGCAACAAGUUGACGACUCCCCUCUCACUUAACAGUACGAACGGACCAAACUCCUGAGAAUAUCUUUGAGGUAACUACUCAUAUUGCACUUGUGAAUUUAGAGGAUAAAUUUAUUGGAUAUCAAUUAUCUUUCAGGCAAAAUCGUAGAAAGUCACCAAAUCGUUAUUCACCAGAUAUUAGCAAGACAUCAAGGUAUCUAAUUGCGAAUUAUGUAUCCACUAAGAAACUGUUUGAACCACUCAAGGCUUUUGUGUAUCAGUUGUCUGCUAAUCAUAACCCAAUUAAGGUUGCUGAAGCAUUAAAAGACCUUAAGUGGGUUCAAGCUAUAAAGGAAAAGAUGAAAGGUCUUGAGAAAAAUCAGACUUAGACACUGGAAACUUUACCAUAAGGGAAAAAGACUGUCGAAUGUAGAUGGGUGUUUACUAUAAAACACAAUGUUGAUGGAUCUAUCGAGCAAUACAAGGCAAGACUUGUGGCAAAGGAAUACACACAAACAUACGGUAUAGACUGUGAAGAAACCGUUGCACCAGUAGCAAAGUUAAACACCGUCAGAGUCUUACUGUCUUUUGGAAUUAAUUUGGAUUGGCUACUACACCAAUUUGAUGUAAAGGAUGAUUUCCUGAAUGGGGAACUCACAGAUGAGGUGGAUAUGGACAUUCCUCAUGGAUGUAAUAUUACUCAGAUUGGAAGAGUAUGCAAAUUACGAAAGGCAUUGUAUGGAUUGAAACAAUCACCGCGCGCAUAGUUUGGACGGUUCACCAUAGCGAUGAAGAACAAUGGUUUCAGACUGAAUAACACAGAUCAUACUAUAUUCUUGAAACAUCAAAAAUGGAAGGUAACUGCUUUAAUAAUCUAUGUUGAUGAUAUGAUUAUUAUUGGGAAUGAUAAAUAGGAAAUAUCUCAACUACAAGACUAUUUGGCUAUUGAAUUUGAGAUGAAGAAUCUAGCUGGACUCAAGUAUUUCUUGGGGAUUGAGGUGGCCAGAUCAAAGCAAUGCAUAUUUCUCUCUCAAAUGAAAUAUGUCUUGGACUUGUUGACAGACAUAUGAAUGCUAGAUUACAAACUUGUAAACACUCCUAUUGUUCAAAAUCAUCAUCUUGGAGAGUACCCGAAUCAAGUUCCAACUAACAAAGAAAGAUAUCAAAGGUUAGUGGGAAAAUUGAUCUACUUGUCACAUACCGACCAUAGAGCGUUGUCAGUCAAUUUAUGCAUUCUCCAAGUGAAGACCACAUAAAUAUAGUUUUUUGGAUACUUAGAUAUUUAAAGUCUGCACCUGGACUAGGACUUAUGUUCUCAAAACAUGGUCAUCUGAAUAUUGAUGGGUAUUCAUAUGCAGAUUGGGCAGGUAGUGUAACAAAUAGAAGAUCCACAUCUAGUUACUUCACAUUCGUAUGAGGUAAUUUGGUGACAUGGAAAAGCAAAAAACAUAAAGUAGUAGUUCUAUCUAGUGCAGAAGCCGAAUUCAGAGGUAUGACUAAGGAAUUUGUGAGCUCCUUUGGUUAAGAAACUUGCUUACUAAACUUGGGUAUGAACCUACAUCCACAAUGAAUCUCUUUUGUGAUAACAAGGCUGCAAUCGUUAUUGCAUAGAAUCCGAUUCAACAUGAUCGCACCAAACAUAUUGAGGUGGAUCGACACUUCAUCAAACAGAAGUUUGAGGCUAAAGUGAUUCAGUUUCCUUUCGUGAAGUCCGAGGAUCAAUUAGCGGAUAUUUUGAUAAAUGCAAUUUCCAGUAGAGCGUUCCAUAAUUCACUGGACCAGUUGGGUAUUGGCGAAAUCUAUGCACCAACAUGAGGAGUAGUGCUGGCGUGACUUGUGGACCAUUAACUUUCCUUGCACACCAAGGAUUCCCAUAUUAAUUAUAAUUGAUUUACUUUAAUUCCUGAUUUCUUACUGUAAAUAAAAAAAUGAAUUUAUUAUUUUACUUGGUCACUAAGACUCCGUUAUAUUAUAAAUAUGACCUCCUACAAAGAGAGAAAUAUACAAAAAAUUCCCACAAACAAAUAUUUUCACAUAACUUCUCAUAUUUUAGCAGAAACUUUGUUUGAUUUUUACCAACUACAACAAAAGAUAUAAGGAAAGGACCAAAUUACCUUGUUUGGAAUUGGAUGCCCUUCUGAAGCUGGCAUCCACAGUACAUUGAACUAAUGUUGAAGUCAAAACCAACCAAAGCCAUUUUCUAAUUAUAACUCCCUGACAAUUUGCCCCAUCUCUUUCUCUGUGCGUCUCAGGGGUUGCUUUCAAAUCUGCAUAGCAAUAUUCUGUGCCCAACUCUAAUCCCUUUCACGUUAACCCACGUAUCAAUUUCUUGGUCCUUCUGCCCCAAAAAGAUAAAACAUUUUAAUCAAUUUCUUGGUCCUUCUGCCCCAAUGCCAAAAUUAAUAACAGCAGAGCACCUGCCUUACUGUAAAUUAAAAAGCAGGGUCAUGACAAAUAAGAUAUAGUAAGAUUUUUGGAACUUUAGAAGUACAUACCUUAAAGUUUUGAUGACAGUGACUUGCAAAAUUAAGGGUGCCCCAAAUCAUAGUGUCUGUAGCAGAUACUUCUCUCGGAGAAGAUCUUACUUGGGUUUUGCAAGCCAAAGAUUAAGAUUUCUCCAUCACAAUUUAUAUAUGGAGACUGCAGAUAAGUAUAUUAUAUUAACGUUAACCUUUUCUCUUUUUCUCUUUUUCUCUUUUUCUGAGUAAUUAAAGCAGGCAUUUUCUAUCUUAACCAUUGCGAAAGGGACCAUGCUUUUGUUUUUGUUUUUUUUUUUGGUGUGAAAAAAAGGGACCAUCUUUGGCAACAGCUAACAAAUAGAAAAUCUGGUGUAAUAAAUAAUAGUACAGAAAGCUGCACAGUUUCUGGCUUAAAGCAAAAGGGUUUGAUCAAGACAAUGGACUCCAGAUCACGAGUGUAACUUCCAUGUAACAUGUUUUAUAUAUAUUUAUUUUCUAUCUUUCUCAUUAUGAGAUGAGUUACGUGAUGAGCAUAUAUAAAUUCAUCUAUCUAAUGCGCGGGUCUAAGUGUAGUCGCAAUCUAAAUUUAUAUCCUCAACAAAGCAAUAAUCACAGCACAAAUAAAAAACAAGGAAACGAUACUCACACAACUUUUUUGUAAUAAAAACAUUUGAAAUAAAAGCUCUUAAAAGUAAAUGGGUGAAGGAAAAUGGGUGAAGCAACUUGUCGAUGAGGUAAAUGGGUGAAGCAAAAGAACAUUAUGAUAUUAUGAGGCACGAUGGCUGAACUGAAACAUAAGAACAUUAUGAUAGGAAUAAAAAUGAAGCACGCCCCAAGAAAACACAUAAUAUAUUGUAGCAUCAAUGAUUUUAUUUAUAAUUCGUUGUUAAUUGAAGUGUUAUAAUCAUGUUAAGCUAUAGCCUAUUUAAAUACCUAACCACCGCCCUUCUGAUCAAUUAUUUUCAUUUAUAAUUAUAAUUAUUUUAAUUUAAAUCAUAUUAAGAUAUUUUAGUAAGAAGCACGUGUGAGUAUUUUUUUUUAUCACAAAAUCAGUCAAUUUAUCUACAUUAUUGUUCCUUGAUAUAUUUUAUCUACUACUUAAAUAAAAUGUUGCGAUCGUUAAUGGUAUCUAGCCAGUGAAAAUGGCCUUAAUUUGCAGACCAGUAAUCUUAGGUUCGAACCUUCAUGACACCUUGGUUGUGCGUGUGAGAAUACUCCCUCCCCUUCCUAACUUUGGCAAUAUAUAUGCCUAUUGUGAUUCAAGCUACACUUGAUCGACUCAUUACAUUUUAAGUUUGGUAUGGCUAUCCUACAUUUUAGACCAAUUUUUCCUCUCUGUCUUUUCCGAUGACUCGACUUGGAUUGAAUUAGAGAGUUGAGUCCAAACCAGUCCUUAUGAGUCCUACUUGUCCCCUCUAAGCGGGACUUGUAAGACACAAUAUGCUGGAUUGUUAUCCAUUUUAAUAAGUUUAGUCUCAGCGCAUGUACCAAACAACAAGAAAUUAUAGAAUGAUACUGUACCAUCACGUCAGCCGAUGAUACUUCCACUUAAAAUUUUAUAUGUGUACAACUUUUUAAAGAAAAAUUUAAAAUUUAUACAGUUGGAUUUAAAAUCCAUUUUUCAAUUUAAAUUUAAUUUAACAAAAAUAGAAAUAUCUAAAAUAAAUAAAUGAAAUUUCCUCGGCAACAUCAACCCCUUCUUUGAACGUGCAACAAAGCCCCCAACCCCACCUUUCUGCCAUGGCUGCCAUUGGUCUUUUUUUUUUUUUUUCAUGUCUUUGUGUCUUUCUCUCUUCCUUUCCCUCCUCUGUAAUUACGGGUAGGGUUCAAGGAAUUUGGAUUGAAACUUUCUUGGGGGGUGAGUUUAUGGUCUUUGAGGAAUCCAAGCUUUCAACAUACAUCAAGAGCAAAAUCAAGUUUUUUUCUUGAUUGUGAAACUCGAAGGAUUCAUUUGCCAUGGGUUGUCACCAUAUUCACAAAUAGAGAGAUAGAUAGUCAUGACAGGGGCUUCGUCACUAUCGAUGAGGCAAAUGAUUUUUGGGUUUUUCUUUUUAAGUUUUUAAAAUUCUUUUAAAUUUAUUUUUAAGGGUAAAAAAUUAUACACAUAUCAAAUUUUGAACAUGAGUAUCACCAGCCGACGUGGUGGUACAGUACUAUUAUAUAAUUUCUCUAAAUAAAAGUUAAGACUCUUAUCCAUUUUAAUUGAAAUAGUCCAGUAUAAUCUCACUCAUCAAACUUGUGCGCCUAUAAUAUAUAAAAGUGAAGUGCUUAGAAAUUUCACUUUGGGGAGUGAAUUAGCCAAUUAACUCCAGAGGCAAAUUCAGCGACCAUAAACCUAAGCCGCCUCAUGUACCUAGUGCAUCAAAGUUUUCUCCUUCACGACAUGGUGGGGAUGGCCAUAGAAGUAUAGGACAGUAGGGAGGAUGUAGGGUAGGCUAACCUAUAAACCAAAAGAGUACAGAAAAGUUCUGUUUGGUAGGUACAUAAAUGGGGGAUCUUCUUAGAAGAUAGUCCAAAGAUCUUCUUGUCCCCACUAUCUCCAUCUCUCUCCCCCACAGACAUCAAUGCAUUGCAAUGCAAUUCCAUGCGCAGCACCAAUUGCGCUUUUUGGCAACGGUUUAGUGGGGAAGAACAAAAUAAAUUCUUCAAGUACUAAAUAAAUCCCUCCUGGCCUAGUGUUGCUGUGUACUUUUUUUAUACAUUAAAAUUUGACACUUGUUUUGUGUACUAAUAACGUUGUGAGAUUUGAGGCCACCUUUUAAGUACAAAGAAACCAUACCAAUGCAAAAUCCAUGCAUGCACAGCAUCCAUUGCUGCUUUUGGCCAUGUUUUGUUUUGGGGGAAAAAGAAAAUUUUAUUCUGACAGCAUUUGGACCUGUCGUUCUGCACUGACGUUCUGCACUGAAAUGCGACAUUUGCAUGGUGUAAUAUUUUCUGAUAUAUAUAAUAACCAGUGUCUGUCUCUGCAUCUUCACACACACACAAGUGCUUACUCAAUAACCACACGAGGCACUUUUGUCUCCUUCUAACAAAUGCUGUAAGAAAAGAAAACACUCGAAUUUGUGUUGAACUUUUUUCUUCUUUUUUUUCACCACGAAAAACUCAAGUACUUCUCACAUAUUCACCUAAGAAAUGCUUCUUUUGAAAACACUUUUUUUCUCUUCCUUUCAAAUGAUGUAAACCAAAAACACUUUUAAUCCAGUAGUCGUCCAUGUUCAUCCUUAGAAAGUAUUUAAUUAGUAAACCUCAGGAAUUUUUUUUUAUUUGUUCUCUUUUUGCCAAAUGCUGUAAAAUGCACUUUUAAUUAUAUAAAAACACUUUUUGGCACGAUCAAAAUGAACAUGUCAUGUCUCUUUUCUCAAUCUUGAUUAAGAUUGUAUGUCUGCAAUAUAUAAAGUAAAAGGCAGAAAAUAGUAAAACAUUCAAAAUACCAGAAAAUGACAUUGAUUAAUGCAAACAUUAAGAAUUAAAAUUAUUAAUUAAAUGAAAAUAAUAUGGUAAAUUCACACUUUUUCAUAUUUAAAAAAAUAAAUAAAUAAAUAAUGAGUCCUAUUUUUAUGAAACACAACUACCCAUUAUCUUUUCUAAUAGAGGCUUAGUUAACAUUACAGUAUAUUUUGCAAGCCAUCCUGCAUUCGAAUUUCAAAUUGUUCACAUAUCGCUGCUAUGGAGCUAUGCCAUUAAUUAUAUAUGCCCCACUGUUUUAAUAUAUCUGUACUGAUCAGUUAUAAUAAUUUUAUAAGUGGUCCUGAGGUUUACAAAGAAGGGUAUCAAGGUUCCAAUGAGAUAGUCUCUAUACAUAAAUAAAUUAAAGAAACACAUAUGUAUGUUAAAGAGGAAUGGCAAGUUCUUAAUUUGUAUCGUCAUGAUUUUAUUUUGGACAAAAGUAAAUUUUGAGUUGGAAAGAAAGAUUAACGUUCUUUCUUGUUUCUACAGUCUCUAUACUAGUCUUAACUCUAAACCCCACAUCCCAAACUUAAAACGCUUAACCCGGCAAAAGAUUACAUUCCACUUUUUCGUCAAAGAAAUCUCACGAGUUUAGAAAACAAAAAAAUUGAUCCAAAAUGUACUUGGACCACAUAUUCAAAAAACAAAAUCAUCAUUCUGAUCUUAAUUUGAUCCUAUACAUCUUCAACUUUCUUUAACCAUGUUGCAUACGUAAGACAUAAGAAUAUCUUGUUUUCUUUAUUUUUUCAUUUUUUUGGUCAAGGUAUAUCUUGUAAGUUGUUCUUUUUUGUCGUAAAUUAGUGGUUUCGGUGGUUCCAAACUUAUCAGUUUUCAUAGGACGUGUGACUUAUUUACAUAAGAUAUAAUUUUAUAUCUUCUUGUUUAUGAUGAGGAGGAGAAAGGAAGCAGAUUGGCUAUAAAGAGAAAUAAUUAUGGUGACAAAUAUGUGCAUCCUUUUUGGACAAAAAAUUUGAGGGGCAUACUCACUUUUAUAAGGAAAAGUUUUUCUACCAAAAUGAUGGAAGAUUGAACACAAAGAUCCUUUUUCACGUCUACAGAGAAAUGAUUAUUUGUAGGAAAGAGCUAUAGAAAUAGAUGGUUGAUCAAUUUUCCAUCCAUCGAUUCAUCAUAUUCCCUACACAAGUUAAUACAAAAAGAAAUCAAUAUUGGAGGUUUUUUUGGAGGGUAAAUUAUAUUAAUGUUGAAGUUCUGAGUUACCUAGUUAAUUAAAAGGUUGAUUAAGAAGAGGACAGUAACGUUGACCUCCACGAGUCACUUUUACCUUGUUCAAUGAGUGCAGUGCAGAAACCCUUGUAGUGUUUUGUGUUUGUGUGUUUGAGAGAAACGAGGAAAUCUCCCUUUACACGUAUGUUUCUACAAAUCUAUCCUCUCACGAUUGAUCUUCAAUAUAACUUUGCCUCACAUCUAAACUUCUUUUCUAAAAGAUUUUAUAGAUGUUACUUGAAUCUGAAAUAUAUAUUCAGCCUAAUUAUAUAUGAAAAACACUUCCUUCCUUCUUUAUUAUGUAAGCAGAAGCUCCUACAUUUCUAUCAAUAGCAAUGCGAAGUGUGUGUAUAAAUUUUUAUUUUUGUAUUUUUGAUGAAUUAUUUUUACAUAUGUAGCAAACUAUGAUUCAAAAGAUGAAUAUCUCUUUACCCUGUAAGGAGACAAGUAGUAUCCAUUAUAUAUAUAUAUAUAUAUAUGCACAAUUGCGGAGCAAAAGUUUUUAGAUUUGGCGGUCAAAAUUAAAACUUAAUUAUAAAUGAUUUUAUCAUCUUAAAUCAAGGUCGAACAUUAGCUUGUAAUUUUAUUUUUUUUUCCAAGUGUUAGAGAGGGUUGUAAAAGAGGUGGGGAGCUAAGACCACUUUAGGGCUAACUUUGGCUUCCCAUGUAUAUAUAUGCACACAUAUACAUCUCAACCAUUAAUAUAUGAUCUAAUAGCAUAUUACAAAUGUUCAACUUACAUCCCUGUUACCACGUAUGAAUCGUAAUAUUAGUAAUAUUUUAAUAUGAAUUUAAGUUGAAAAUUUGUGCAUAUCUACCACCAAAUCAUAUAAAAUUAUAUGACGUGCGUAGAUGUAGAACGAAAAAUGAUGUAUCUCAACCAUUGAUAUAUGAUCUAAGUAGUUGGUUUGAUAUGACAAAUCUUCAACUUAGGAAUGUAUCAAUCAUUCUAAGUCACUUUUCCCCUAAGUGGAAUCAUUCCCUCUUAUGUGAACUUAGACUCUUUAUACAUUUAUCCAAGACUACAAAUUAAUCAUAGUCUCUGCCUGUGAUCAUGAUCAGGAAGAAAAAGGGCAUGCAGUUUCAAGGGACAAUCAUGUUGGCUUUCCUAAAACAAAUAAUAUUAUUUUUCUUCUGAAAUUGCUUUGAAAUAUCUUUUUUACAUGAACCAUAAUUGGAGUUUUUCAUGCGGCUAAACUUAUUAUGGAUCAAGGACUGAUAUUUGGGCCUACCACUUUAGCAAGCAUCACUAAUGGUUGAGAGUAAAUAACAUAGGAUGGUGCCCAACUUUAUAUUACACCUUCUGCUGCUAGUACUCAUCACCCACUCAUGCAUCAAUCUUACAUUCUACACCCAUCAUUCAAUAAGCGUUGGAGCACACUUGCAAAAAAAAAAAAAAAAAAAAAAAUCAUGUUUCUUAAAGGACCUUAAUGAUUCAAUGUAGGAUAUAAUGAUAAAAGGAUCUACACAAUUGCAAUGAAAGAUUUAAAUCCUAUAUCUUACAAAAGAUGACGAACAAAUUUUUUUAGAAAAAGGGGGAAAAAGAGAGCAUCCAAUGUCUAGAAAUUGUAAUCAAAUCCCACUUGUAGCACAGAAAAACCCUAAACUCAAAACCCUUAAAAGAUAAGUCUAUACGAGUGAUAUCCACGAAACUUAUAUUGAAACUAAAAGAUAAAAUCAAAACACAUGGUGUUUGGUGUGCUUGAAUGAUGGUUUGUCUUACAUCUCAGACGUAUCUCAAGUGUCAAGGCUGUGAUAUCUUGGAAUGUCUCUCUUAGUUUUUGCUUAUCUUCAAUGAUGGCAAAAUGGUAGGUAAAUCCAGGCUGAAAAGCUUCACUUCAGACAAUUUAGAAUUGUUUACAAAAGAUAUGUGGGAGAUUUGGCUGUACCAGAUCGGAUUCGGAGGGCCGAAGCUUGAGCUAGGUACAUAACUAUGUAAUAUAACUUAGCAUAUAUGUUAAUUCAGUGAAACAAUCUUAUUAACUUGGUGGAGGCUCAAACUUGCUCCGUAGAGUUGGUCAUGGUCGGCCACACAUUCUGGCUGGCCCUUAAAUUUUGAGCCCUUUGGAGCCCACUUGGGCCAUCUAGGACUUGUAAUGAGGAAAGUCCAUUGCCUAUCUUGCACUAUUAUGUAGUCCUUCAUUCUUUUUCUUGAGCUUAAAAUAGAAGGAACAUGCAAAGGACUUGUACCUCAAGCGGUUAAGAGUAUUUAUUCUGCACCUUAGGUCUUAAGUUCGAUUCCUCUCUUCCCUAAUAUCGCUUUGUUUACCCUUUUUAUAUUUGAAUAUGUUGAAGACUAAGUACAAUUCCACAUUAAUCUUUUAACUACUUAAUGGUUUCUUGGAUUAACUUUAUUUUAUGUGAGCGUGCCACUGUUAGCAGAUAAUACCCUAACAGAUUUGAAUGACUUUAUAUACUUGCUCCAAAAGUAAUAGAUUUUAAACAAACGAUUGUGAUUUUGGGUGGGGAAACCUCACAAGUGAGUUUCUUUUCUAUGCCUUAGACGGGUGAGGACUUCACAAUUUAUUUAAACAAAACUAGUAAGCAAAGCAAAAUACACAAAUUUAUGGAGAAUAUAACAAACUAAUCCAAGUUGAACUGCCUGAAGCACAAAGCAUCAAAUGAAUCUCUAAACCUAUGCAGUUCUCAGAGGUGUUGGACUUUGAUUUCUGUUUGAAAACAUAGUUGCAAUGAUGACUUAUGAUGAGGCUAGACUGAACUUUUGUUGACUGGACUGAAUGUUUCUGCACUGGAAUUGCACGUCAACACCUUCAACUAAUAGAGUUUAGCUGGAAUUCAAUACCAAGUUUGAAGUUGGCAGAGCUAUAAACAAGUUGAGCCUUGAAGAGGCUGUGAAAGUGAUCAGAACUACAGACGAGUACUUGUUUUGGUUGAUUCUGAUUAAUAUGGAAGCUAUCUAGACAAUUUUAAGACAUUAAGAUGUCUUUGAAAAGCUUGUUGAGGAUUUCAUAUGAUGAAAUACUUGACUUCUUCUUGUUUGAUCUAAUUUGCUGAACCAAAUUUGUAAGAGGAAUUAAUCUCUUUUGAAUUUUGCCUGAUUUUCCUUAUCUAGAUGCGAAGGAAAUCUUGGUUUCUUCUUCGUUUUAUGAACUUCUUUUUGAGCUGGAUUGCUUCUUAAGGAAGAUUGCUUGCCUACUUUUGGUAGUUGUAAGAUUGUAUGAUCUUUGAUUUCUUUUGAUCAAUAUGGAUUGAUUGUUGAGUUUUUGCUUGAUUAGUUGGUUGGUUGGGUGUCUCUUCUCCAGUCCAGGCACUCUUGAAUAUAUAGGAGAAAAAUGAUGUGGGAGAAAUCUGGAUAUUUUUGGUUUUGGACUAAUCUUCAUUUAAUGCACAAGUGGCAAAUGUUUUGUCAGUCAAAGCAUUGGUCAUUUUUUGGCACCUGCUCAUCAAUCUUCCUGAAUGUUUCAUGAUUGUUCCUUGCAACAACUAAAAUGAAGUGAACAAUAAUGCCCAGAUUCUGCCAAUGUUGGUACCAUAAAUAUCCAAAUAUCCUGGUGGUAGAAAAAAUUUCGGCGAUCAAUGUAAUAAAUAGCCGUGAUUCUCAACUAAAGCAAGUUUGACUUUUACUUCCCAACUUCUAAGGUCAUCAAUUCUCCUUGGAGUUUAGUCACCAACGGUGAGGAAAUUAACCUGACAAACCUUAACAACUAAGAAACUGUGAAUUUUGGAAAAGAACUAUUUCAAAUAGCUUUGAUCUUUUGGAUUGAAUUACUAUUGGUGGUAACUUUGUUUCUCAACUGUCAGAAAUGCAAAUUAAUUUUAAAUUAAUUCAUAAUAGUUGAAUAACAUGCGUCAUUCACCAUUUUUUGGUAAACAAAGCCAAAUAUUUUGUAAAAAAAGAACCCAUCAGCCAAACUGGGUUGGCACACGGAUUCUAGUAGGGGUGAGCAUUAUUAUCGAAAACCCGACCGAACUGCUUAAGGUAGUUUGGUUCAAUUUUUAGACUAAAAAAUCAAAGAACCGGUAAAAAACCGGCCAAAUCGAACCUGAACCGUGUUGGGCCGAUUUUAAAUACCAGCAAACUGCUCAAAAUCGGACCGGACCGAAUAUUUUAAUUAUAUUAUUAAAAAUAAAAAUAAUACACGUGUCAAAUAAUGAUUCGUCGAGUGUAAGCCAUUUCCUACUCUUUGCUAACACGAUUGAGCGAAACCCUAAAACAUUUCAAGGGCUUCGAUUUUUUUUUUUUCCAUUCCGCCUAUUAUUCUCUUCCUCCUCUCAAACUCUCUGCCUCUUCUCUUCCUCCACUCAAACAUUUCUCAACCGAUCUCUCUCUCUCUCAGCCGCUUUCUCUCAAUCACUUACGCUCUCGCUCAGUCACUCACUCUCGUCUCCCUCAGCCGGUUUCGCUCUCUCUGUCUCUUUCGCUCUCUCUCAGUCAUUCUCAGUCUCCCUCUCUCGAUUUUUUUCCUGUUUCAGGUAUUAAUAUAUGGAAACGGUGCAGAUCAGAAGCUUUAAGAUCUGUGGAAGUUUCAGGGUCAUCUUGUUCAAGAGAUCAGAUCUUCUCAACUGGGAUUCUUGUGAUUUAGCACUGUCAAUACAUAGGUAGCUUUACACUAAAUACAUUUAUUUGUUUUUAUUUGGAUUUUCUUUUGAACUUUGCAAAUAUGCAGAUUGUGAUUGAGAUUACUCUCACAAUUUGCUAUAGUCUGUAAUAAUGAUUUCUGUAUUUGGACAUGUGUGGUGAAUGAUGGUUUUCUUAGGGUUUAAGGUUUUUUUAAAAGUAUUUGAAUGAUGAUAAACUUUAGAUAUGCAAAGUUGGAGAAACUGGAAAACCAUACAGGAACUCUCAAACUUGAAUUGGCCUGGAAAUCUGACCUAAAAAAUAGAAUAGGCCUGGAAAACUUAAAAUAAAAAAAACAAAAAAAAAAACCUUCAAUUGUUGCUUUUGUUGGGCCUCGGCAGAUACCCGAAUCGAACCAACCCAGCCCGCCUAAUUCGAGUUUUGAAUUAAGUCGAAAAUAGGCCAAAUAAACAGGUCCACGGUUUAUCAUUUGGGCUUGCCGACCUGGCCCGUUUCGGCAUACGAUUUGGGCCUAUAACCGGCCCGACCCGACCCGUGCACAGCCUUAGAUUCUAGGCCCAAACACACUUGUAUAAAAAAUUUGAAGGAACAUACAUAAUCAGAUUGGCAAAGUACUCCCACAUUGGCAAUUUUCAUUGGCCAAGUUCUGGCAUCAACAAAGUUAAUGUUAUAAAGAAAAGUAUUAGAAAAUGUACAGUAAACUCGGGAAGCAAGUGAUUUAUGUUAGUAUGCAACUUCAUUGGCUUUUCUGGCUUGAAGCCCAAUUCUAUCAAGAGUCUUCUGAUCCACAAUAAUUCACAAACUCCAUGAGCCAUUCCUCGAUACUCUGCUUCAGCACUAGACCGAGAAACUACAUUUUGCUUUUUACUCCGCCAAGUGACUAGGCUACCUCCCACGAAUGUAAAGUAACAUGAAGUAGAGUGUCUAUCUGUAAUGGAACCAGCCCAAUCAGCAUAUGUGUAUCCAACAACUUCAAGAUCUCUAUUUUUUUAGAACAUUAAUCAUUUCUCAAGGGCUGACUUUAAAUAUCUUAAGAUCCGAUCAACUGCAUUCCUAUGAGAAACACUGGGCGAAUGCAUAAAUUGACUAACCACACUCACAGCAUAUGUAAUAUCUGGUCUUGAAGGACGUAUGAAAAGUAGAACCUUUGGUGGUGGUGAUAGAAGCAGGAGUCUGGGUAGACAGGUCAGUAGGAUUGACCGCAUGCUUCUGUGAGUUUGCAAUAAGAUGGAGAAUCGUAUAGGUUCCUGACAUCGCAGCGAAAGUAAGAUGUGAUAUGAGAAGAUGAGGAAGGUUAUGUGAGAAAUUUGAUGUAGGAAUUGGAUUUAAGAGGUAUGUGUAUAAGAUUUGAGGAUAUGUGUUUAGGGAUUUGAAUAAGAGGAUUUGAGGACUUUAGAUUUGAGGGAUUUGGAUUCGGGGAAAAAUAUGAGGAAUUUGAUUUAGAGUUCUAGAUUUGAAUAUGAGAAAUUCGAGAUAAGGGUUUAGAGACAAAACAACUUCUCUUCACUCCCCCUCUCCCCCUGAAGAGAAGGGGUCGUCAGAGUAAAGAGAUAUGCAGUAUCUUCAUGGGACUACGUCACGGUAAUGGGGAUACAUCAAUAAACAUAUCAUUUUCACUCCCCCUCCCCCCCUUGAAGAGGAGGGAAGGAGAGCACUUAAAUUUCAAGAAGAACGCAAGCACAGGUCACAAGAGAACUAGGCUCUGAUACCAUGCUAAAAUAUGAAUAUGGUUUGAAUACUUUGGGUUGGGUUUUAUUCUUCUCCAUAAGGAGGUAUAUAUAUGAGUUUACAUGAGGGUUUUACAAGGAAUUAGAUACAAUAAAGAAUUAGGAAAGUAUCUCCUAAUUGUACAAUGAUUUAUCACUUAUAUAAAAAUAGGAAAGUAAAUCCCUUAAUUAAUCAAGGAAGUAAAUCUCCUUGAUUAGUUAGUAUACUCACGUCAACAUAUAUCAUUAAAGAGAAUGUAUACAAUGAUCUGAAAAAAGCAUUAUUGAAGACUCAAUUACAUACCAGAAGCAGGACAAACUAGGAAAUUAAGAGACAGAAAAAAAGGGGGGAAAAACAGAGGACUAGUUUACACUUACAAGUUACAAUUUUAACAGUUUUUAGGACAGAAGAGAAGCUAACACUGCAAAACCAGUUCAAGCUCUGAAAUGUUGGCAUCCAUUGGAUUUAUUAUACCGGUUAACUUAAAUCGCAAGUGUAGGUGCUUGAAAUGUAAUCUUGGGGUGUUGAUGGUCGCCUUCAUAUGUAACAACCAACAUGGUAGGAUCUUCCAAGCAUCGUUCGACAUGCUUUCUUGCAGGGCAUCCCCUCACACUGCUGCAUUUGUAAUAACUCCUUUGAAGGCAAAGCAUCAUGGACAGACUUAUCAGCUAAGCUUGGAAAUGGCUAAGCAUAUAUAUAACAUUCAAGAAGAGCACAUAUAAAGCUCAUGGCCAUCAUCUAAUAUAUUGUUGCAAAUUCUAUAUCCAAGGACAAUGUUAGGGUAAUAAUCUAUAAGAAGCAUAUCAAACUAAGGGAAGUGAUUUUGUUGAAAUAAUUCAUUCAUUUUCCUCUGUUCUUCCAGCCAAGUAAGGACUCAUUCAUUUUAUGGAAUUAUGGACUAACUUUCAUCUCUGCCAUAAGCUAUGGAUUGUUUGUGUAUGAUGAAUAAGCCAAAAUAUAUGAAACAGAAGAGAAAAUAUACAUAUUAAACAAUCUAGACCUUAAGAUUUGAAAUCAUUAUGGAGAGGCAAAAAUAAAAUAACACAGACAUACCUAGGAUAUGGAGACCCCUUAAUAGGUUUCUGCCCAUACUUCCUCCAGGUAUAGUCAUCAGGAGGUAUAUCAGCUAGCUUAUUGCUUAAAGCCGGAACUCGGAUUCUUCUCUUUAUUCUAAGUUUCCUGUUAGGAGAUGAACAAACACAAGAAAUUAAAAACCGUCAGCAGGACACAAGAAGAUAGAAAAUCAGAAAUCCAAUCAUAAAUAUUGUGUAAACCAACAAAAUGUAGUGACAUAAAGGACUGCAUUUUAAUCAGGAUUUCAAUACCUUCGCUUUGAGCAAUGGCAUCCACCAGCAGAGACUAGGCAUCUUGGAGUGACUUCUUCACUUUUCGCCCCGCACUUCCUUUUGGAAGAAAACAUAGAGGUACAAUCUCGAGAAGCCAAGAGUUCAGACGACGAAUAUUGAAUCAUCCGCGUGUUAAGGCUACUUCCAUCCAUACUGAUCAAAGAAGUGCUAGUAGGCUUUUGUGAGAAUUGGUUCAACCCCAUGAUUAAAUUAUUAGGAAGAACCACACCGGCUUCAGAUUGCCCUUGCUGCAAUGCCGGGUUUGGUUUUUUCUCUCUACCCAUGCUAAAGCUAUUACUGUGGAUCACAUUUGCAGUUGCUUGAUCAGUUUGAUGAACAGCACUAAAAAACUGUCUAACAAAGCAAUUCUGAGGCUGGGGCUGGGGAUGAGGCUGAGGCCAAUUGUGUGUAGUAUUUUGGGAUGAAGGGUUAGGAGAGUCCAACAGUUCAACCUGGUUUAUGUCAUGGGAUUUUGGCAAAGGACCUCUUCUGAUCCUCUUCUGGUUUGAUAACAAUGAUCCAUCAAGGAGAGCAAGUAGUUUUCUGAAUUCUUCCACUGCAUCUUGAGCAAUCAAGCUUACUUCUUGAACACUUCUCUUUUGUUUAUUCUCAGAUACACAACCAAACAGGUGAUGGGCAUGUUUCAAACUACUUUGAGCAGCCUCAUGAAUUUUGAAAUCCAAUCCUGGGUUCAUUGAAACACAGACACCUGAUUCCUUCUUCACGAGUCAAUCCCAAACCCUACCAAAUUAAUUUCUUACAACCUCAACUGUGCCAAAACAAGGUGAGGCUGUGAUGAGGGCUAAAGUGCUAAACAUGAUCCUGAAAACCAACGUGGCAGAAACCACCAAUGGAUCAAAACUAUGUUGCUUCAGUGUCUGAGUGGAUAAAUUAUUCAUCAUCCACUUCAUGAAGGCUGCUUAUAUUUUGAAAUAAACAACUGUAUUAUACUAUUAUAUCUACCUUUUAGUCAACGGUGGCUUAAGUUUCACAACCCACUAAGGCACUAACCAAUACAACAUCUGAAAAAUCUUAAUUGGUUGAUUGAGAGAGCGAGUGGAGUCCUAGAAAACAAAGGCGAAUAAACUUGCAUGUUGGAGCUAUUUUUGAUACAAGCGAUACUCAGAAAAAAGAUUCCAACACACACAUCGGUGCAUGAUAAAUGCUCCUAAUUAUGUGAGCUACACUUACAAGUCCCAGCCAUACUGGAGCUAUUUAAAAAUCACUAUCUCAAUAAAAAAAAAAUUUGAGAAUUUAACAUACUAAUAUCUUUCUAGUUCAAUGCCAUUAUCUCAUCAAAAUUACAUAAAGCUGGUGUGGGGCAUGUACAAGCCAAGGAAGAAGACGCAUGAGGAUUCGGAGAGUUGACAUGAUUGAGGCAUCGUAGCAGUCUCUCUCACUGAUCACUAAACAGGGCUUGGACUAUUGGCAUUUAUCUUUUGUGUUCAUGAUUGAAGCAUGCUUGUUCCCAAAGGGUGGCAAUUAGUGGCUUUGCUUCCACUCAUCACUUUAUUCAAUUGUUUAUUAGUUUCCUUGGAUUUUCAUGCUAAAGAAAUCGUAUGAUGCAGCAGAUGUUUCUAAAUUAGAUUGGAUUAGAUUGUAAUUAAAUUGAAUUAAUUUGGAUUAGGUAAGAUAAAUUUCAUAUUAUACUAUGUUUGACAGAUUCUUAAAAGAUGUUAUCUUGUAAUUGAUUUCGAUGUUUCAGAUUCAAAUUUUGAAAUACCAAUUCGGCCUGGGGUUUCAAGUUCCAAGCCCACGGUUUUGGGGCAAAGGUCCCAAACAUUAUGGUCGGUAUAUACGUUGCUUUCUUAUCUGUUCGGUAAGCAAACACUAUAGUGAUAGCUAACUAUAGAGUUGAAUCAAAGAUUUCAAAAUAAUGAUUCAUGUUUUCUUGAUUUGAUUUGUCUUUGAGACUUUUGAAGUUGGAAGCGUAUACAAGAAACAAAACUUGACAUGCAUGUUGCCAGAUUGCUAAUCUAGAUCACACAUUUGACAGUCUGAUAUGCCCUUGAUAUAUUCUCAAUUGUUUUUUUUCACAAGCGAUAUUGAGAAAGGGGGAAAUCAACCGUAGGACCUCGGGUGUAGGAGUAAAUGCUCUUAACCACUUACUACAAGCCCCUUAACUUCUCAAUUCUAAUGCAAUCUAAUUCCAAUCUAAGUACACACCAAAGUCCUGUAUCUAAAAUCUGUUCAUUACAGAGAAUAAAGCAGACUCUCAAUUUUCUGGUCUAUGCUCUUGAACAAUCAGUACAAUUUUUGUUUAUCCAUUUCAUGGAAUUCCCAUUUCAUUUGGGAAACCAUUCGAAUUAGAAACCAACUUUGGCUCUUGUAAAAUAGAAGCUUCAUCACAAUUUAUCCUGUUAAGGCUAUGGUGAACUCGUAAGGCACACAAUCCUUUUCUUUCCCUUCCAGAUUGCAGCAAUCUAACAGAACGAAUUAUACAGUUCUCGUGAAGCACCCAAAAAAUAGAAGAAAAAUAAAAUAAAGAAAACAUUUGUUAUGGAGAACUCAAAUGACACAAGCAAACUCACCUUCUCAAUCAUUAAUUUUGUAUCUCUGCGGGAUUAGGGUUAACAUUUAUCCAGUUACCAAUACUAGUAUUAAGAUCAGUACAUGAAUCAGAAAGUAGCUAAAUGAUUCUAAAGUCAGAACAUAAGGUUAUAUGCAGCCAAUGGUUACAAACAAAUACUUGCUCAGAUCUAUGCCAUUCCCAACUUAAAACUUCUCAUAAAGUUCUUUUCCUCCGUGGAACAUAGUUUAGUCGUGAACGUUUGUUUUUGACAGGAGCACACCAGCUUUGACCAUCAGCCGCCUUGGCUCUUAAUUUUUUGUACUCUCUUGAUCUUAAAACUGCCUCCAUAAUGUUUAUAUCUUCACGAAUUUCUUGCCGGGAAAGGGAUGCCAGACCAGGAAGUAUGUCCCUCUGAAAAUCUUUCAAUCUUCUCCCCCUUCUCAACUUAACACCAAAAUCCUUUCUAUCAGUGUAAUCUACUUCAGAAGGCUUUGAUGACACACAAUUGUCAUCCGCGCUGCUUUCUGUUAGCUUUAGUGUGAUUAACUCGAAAGAAUCAGAAGAAUACUGUGGUUGCUCACUCUCCUUCAUUUCCAUCUUAUUUGAUACCCCUACUUUGUAAGGACAAUCUUGAUAACCAGAUGAGUUCUCCAAUGAGAUUCCGACAAGUGCUUCGGCUGCCUCUUUGAUCAAAACAUCGAGUUCAGCUGAUUCUCCUUCCUUCUUGGGGCAUUUGUGUUUUAAUUGACUGUUGUUGGAAGAUCUUUGGUCCUGUUCAACCAUUAAGGUUUCUGAAACUUGAUACCCUACAUGUGUUUCGGAAAAUUGAUCAACACAAAAGGGAUUUGAGUUUCUGUACUCAACCUCAGAUUGCAUAGUCUUUAUGCUGCUGGAAUCAUUAUCACCAAUGCAGCCCGGCUUACAUGAAGCAGAAGAUAUAUUUCCAUGUCCAUCUUGAUCUCUUUUUUGACUAAGAUCAGAAUGUGAAAAUAUAGGGUCUUCUGCUUUGUUGUUCUCAUGGUUUGCUUGUUUAGCAGCUUCACAUGAACGAGUUCGACUGUCUAGGAGUCCCAUGAUGAACCCGUCAUUUCCCUUACCAGGGUCAUUACUGUGACAACAAACUGCUUCACAGAGGUCUAUCUUGGGUCUAGACGCAGCCUCCAAACUUACAUGGCCCAUUUCACUUAUGCUCAAGACAUCAACUUUGGAAUUCCCACCCCAAUAAUCUGUUCUCUCAUUUUUUCUUUUGGAGUUCGUGGAAGCAAAAUCUCCAGAAUCAUCUUUUUGAAACGUUUCAGAAGCUUUAUUUGAGUCAUUAUCAUUUUUCUUUUCCCCAGUUCCGAAACAAGGAGUGCCUUCCUCUACCUUGCCAACUAAUCCAUGAAAAGCAUGUGAUGAGCUUGCUGUUGAAGGAUGGGCUACUGUAGGAUCAUUUGACAGACAAGAUGAAUCAUCAUGCUGAAUUUUGUUGAGGUCCAGAAGCCCUGCUUCACAUGAACUGAAAUGUUGCCUUGUGGUGGACAAAUUGUUAAUUGGGACACCACCAGAAAGCUUUUUUAGUCCUGAAAAAGAGACAAACACAAAGUCCAAAAUGCACAAGACUAUAAGUUCUGAAAUUCAACUUAAUGCAGACUAUGAAACAUAGCUCUACACAGAUAAAUGAGCCGUACCUUGAUUGAAUGGAUUCCACUCACUGUGAUCUGAAUGGGGGUUACUGUCUGCAGCAUGAAACAAUAGAUUUUCCUUCCCACAACUUGAGACGAUAGGAUCAACAAGGACAGAAACUUCAGAAUCGUGCUUGGCCCCGAAGUUUUUUAUUGGAGUAGCACUGCUGAAAGAGGGUGAGUGUUCCAAACCCUCGAUUGAUGUCCUCUCAAUUGAUUCCUCUAAAUCAAUCACUUGGUGUGAGCAGGAAUGAGUUUCUACAUCAAACCAAGUUCUCUUAGUACCUCCCUCUCUCCUACUGUCGUCUUGAAUGCUCAGGGAAAGCGUCAACUCUGCUGGAUCUGUGAAAUUAUCACAACAAAGAGAACUCCUAAGUCCCAGAGUUACUUUCAAGUGGUCUCUUGUAUUAUUAUUCUUCAGGAGAUUCUUACCAAUAUAGCUAACGCAUUGAUCCGAGGGAAGUUUAAGAUCAGGAGUCCUCGGCUGAAUCUUAUCAUAUACACCUUUGUACCCUUCUAAGAAGUCCUGAAAUAUAGAUUGUGUUAAUACAACUUGAAAGACAAGCACAAGCACAAGCUCAUCACAUUAACACUAUCUAAUUACAAAUAAUCUGAAAUGAAACUAGGUCGCUCAUCGACUCAUUCAUAGAGGCUAGAUAUUUCUUUUAUCUCUGCUUCAGGCUACACCAAAUGUAGAAAGAUCUUAAGAGUAAAUUAGUUGGUGAGCAUGUAACAAUGAAAAAACCAUAUUUUGGUCCAAAUAUUAUUUAUUAAACCUGCGUCUAUCAGUUCCAAAAGACCACCAAACACAUUAGUACAAAAAAAUAGCAAAAGGGGAGCUGGCUGCCUUCCAUUCUCCUUUAUCAUAGAACCAUUCAUCCUAAGGCUUAGGAAGUCAAAGAUCACUUACCAUAGGUUCAUCUCGUGUAGAAUUUCUGCACGGUAACAGAGUUGACUCAGCACUAGCCUUCCUGAAAUUGUAUCUACCAAACUCCAUCCUGCCAACGUUCUGCAUCAGUGUCUUCUGUAUCCCAUAUAGAUGAUGGAGGUCAUGAACCUGGAGGGAAAUCAGUAGCAAGAAAGUUAAGUAGGGUGGAGCCUAUUUUGUGCACUUUUUCUCCUUAAACACAUGUAGGGCCACUGUACAUUGGAGCCUGCUUUAGAGUAAAAGCCAAAGUUUCUUAUCUGCUGAAAUUAAGCAGCAUAAGGAUUACAUGUGUAAUUGAUACAUAUUCUGUUUUUCAAACCUCACAUACCAUCAAUCAAUGUCAAGGUUUGCCCAAUACAAAGUUCUUUUAUAUGUUAACUAACCGAUCAUGUACAGUUGAAAAAAAAAAAAAAAAAAAACCAAUCAUGUACAUGCACACAAAAUUAUGCCGGUACAUGACUCAAACUUUAUCCUGUGAUUUAUAAUAUCGUAAUACCUGCUUUUUAAACAUAACCUCCUGGUUGAGCAUAGUUGUCCUCAAAACAUCGUUCAGAGAACCAGUGUAUGCUUGCAUUGACUUUGGAUCAAGAUCUCCUCGCAUCAACAUAUUCAUUUUUCUGAAAUUACAUCAAAUCAGAUUUUACAUAUUUAAGCACGAAAAAGUUUAUAAAGGAUUUCCACAAUGUACUUCAUACCUAGUACUUCAAAGCUCUGUCUAAGAAUUUCACGUAAUAAUUCAGUACUAAUGAAAUUUAAGACCACCAAUUGAUGAAAAGGAUUGCCUUUUCUCUGAAAAAUGCGAAGUGGUUUGUAAAGAAAUACUGUACGGCAAUUGUUACAUAGGCAUUGAAACCGGCAAACCAAAUCUUUGUUCUUUACCAUUUGAAGGAAAAUUUUUCCCAUAACUUGUCAUGUUCUCUCACUAUUUACCCACCAUCUGACUUCUGUUUGUGACUAUCCAUCUUGUACCACCUAUCCCCCUCCCUCUCCUCAGUAGUUUGACUAACAACUAAACUACUAAAAUUAAAAUUAAAACAACGCAAUAAACGCAAAUGCACUUCAUGAUUGUACUAAUCAGAAUUAAUGGCUAAUUAAUGAGACCUCUAUAUCCUAGUUGCAACACAAUGAGGAAGAAAUGAUGACUCUUGAUAAGAUGAUAUCCUGGUUGUGAGACAAGUUGGAUUAAAUUCUUCAUUUCUGCUAUUUGGGGAAAAAGGUUUUGUGGUGGAUAAGUAACUAACAUGGCCCAUGGAAAUGGUUUUGUUAACAAAGUACUUCCAAGUAAGAGACUAUACCAUUAAUGCAUCAAACUAUUUGAAAAAACAGAAAAGAAAAUUCAAGUAGACAACACAGAGAACAAAAGAACCUGGUUAUCAAAAACUACACAACACAUUCAAGCUUCAACACCCAAUUAUUUCAAUGUAACAUGCCAAUAAACAGACAUCCCAUAUGGAAAAAUUCAAGUAGACGAUAACCCAAAUUCCAAAAACACUUCAAACCCAACAGUAUAUGCGUUUAUGCACUCAUAUCACACGUACGAACAUACGCAUAUAUCUGUAAAAUUUGGAAAUGCAGAGAGAAGGAGAGAGAGAGUACCAAGAUGUAAACGACCCAAAAGCAGAGCUUUUUGACAUCCCAAUAUCUGCAGCAGCUUCUUCUUCUUCUUCCCCUUCUUGUUGCUCCACUAAAUUCUCAUUUUCCGCAACAUAGCAGAGAGACUAUGAUCCAAGACAAAUGCAGCCAAUGAUUCAACUUUGUAGCUUUUGUAAGGAUGAAAAGAGAGAGAGAGAGGAGAGAGAGAGAGAGAGAAUCGGAUCACACUGGGGUCAUCACAAGAGAAAGAAAAAGAUAAUUAUGUGCAGAAAGAGAGAGGGGGAGAGAGUAACAAGUAACAAGCGCAAGGAAUGCGCGUGGGGGAUCACACCCCAGUUCUUCCCGCAACCCAAAUCACAGCCUUUCUUUCUCCUGUCUGGCGAUUUUUUAAUGUCUCUUUCUAGUUUCUCUCUGGGUCGUUGGGAUUCCUUUCUUUUCUCUCUCUUCUUUAUAUUUUCUCUCUGUUUCUCUCUCUCUCUCUGCACUUAGAUUUCUGGUUUAAGGAGGGGGGGAGCUGUCACUUGUCAGACGUGCUUCUGCUGGGACACUUUCAACUACAAAAGUUAUUUAGUCUUCCCCAUUACUUGUUUGUUUUACCUUCUUAUCCCUCUUAAUCAUCACACAAAUUACAUUUUUAUCCUCAUAACCAGACUUUGAUAUUUUGGAUUUGUUCACUUUUUCUUUUUAAGAGCAGAUAUUUAAGAUAUUUUUGGUAGGGUCAGGGGUUAGGAUACUACUACUUGCAAAAUAGUAUUUUUUAAUGGUUGGAAACGCGGAAUCGAAUUUGAGAUAUCUUUUAAUAAAUUUAAAUUAUUAUUUUUGAAUAAAAGGAAUAGUCUAAAUUAUCAAGGGAUGAAGAUUUUUCACAGACACUAGACACUAUCAAAGUGCCAUGAGAAUUUGAACACGAGACCACUAAUUUGCUUUUUCUUUUUUAAUACAAAGCUUUCUUGUGCUUCAAAUAAAUAUUAUGUUAAUAUGAAAAAAAGAAAAAGUAAUUUAUUAAUUUUCUGCUCAUGAUGAAAUGUGAGGGAAAAAAACGAGUGAUACUUUUUCCUCACAAUAGAAUACACAUUGCAUUGCCAACGGGUCUAGUUGUGGAAAAGUCAAUGUAGUAUCUUAAUAGUAUAGAUAUGAUAAAAUUUUCCUCUCCCUUUCCGACUUUAGGAAAAGAAAAAGAAAAAAAAAAAGAAAAAACAUAGCAUUGGCCUUAUCAUGACGUCUUUAUUUUGUAGUUUUGGACCACAUAAUAUCAAAUAUGCACUAGAAAGAUGACAUUGCAACCACCCAAGGCCCUUACUUAAGUGACAUGAGGGAGGAUGGGUGAAUGAUACAUCUUGGGUUCAGCAGUUGUAAACUCAAUGGGAUAUCAUCAGUUUUCACAUCAAGCUUGUUGCUUUCAAAUUUAUAUAAGAUUUAACUAUCCUUGUAGAGUAAUUUUCUCUUCAAUUCUUACUAUAUCGUAUUUAUAAAGCAAUUUGACAUAUCGGUCGAAAAUGUAGGAGAAAAGGCCACUCUUUUCAGAAUAACAUGGCUUUCAUGAUGAAUUGGUUUUGGUGUGGUCAGGAACUGACCAAGCAUAAAACGCAUGAGCCCUCCAAUUUAUGUAGGUAGGGGCGGCAGGACCACAUGUCCCAAAACUUUAUUUAGAUGAACAGGUUGUCAAACUCUAAGUUGUUGUUAGCCUGUGAGAAGCUUUCUAGACCUCACUUGUCCAACAUGACCUCUUGCAGUUCAUCUUUCACAGCUAUUGGGUUCAAGAAUUACAGAUAGAUAAUAUAUAUUGGGUUCUUCUAAAGCUGGACCGACCACUAAUAUCUCACUGGUUUUUAUUUUAUUUUUAUAACUCUGAGAGAUUCUUGGGCACAAUUUAUGUAUCCAAAUAAUUCCAAAACCAUGGAGAUCCAGAAGUGGCUUGGUUUCUUACAAUGCUUGCCUUGUAAGUAGUGAUCUACAAACAAACAGGUGUCGUAUUGAGCGGUCCAAGUUUUCCUCAUUCAAGGACGAUUUGGACGCUUGUUGGUUUCGUGAGGAUGUUGUCUAAAAAUAUAAGAAAGGACAAAUUACAGUAAACUUCCCAACUUAUAGAGUUAUUUACGAAUUUAUACUUAAUUUUGGAGAUAUUUAUCAGUACAUGCGUAACGUUGCAGAAACUCUACAAUUUGUCUUAUAUAUUAAUCAAAUUGAUAGUUAAUCUGUUAAAUGCUGAUGUGUCAAAAAUUAGACUCUUUUUUUUCUUUUUUUUUUUUUAUAAGGUGGACUUCCACGUGGAUCAAAAAUUAAUAAAAAAUAAUUUUACUGUUAAAUUAAUUCAAAAAUUAAAAUAAAAUUAAAAUUUUGGCAAAAAUCAAAAGAAAAAAAUUUCUCUCCGUCCUCAUCAACUGCAUCUCCCCUUCCCACCUCCCCUAACACCAAAACCCAGCAGCCUCCCCCCCUUCCCCACCACCUCACCUCUGGCUCCAAGAUCCGGGCUGUCCCCAAUCGGCCUCUGCUCCAGAGCAGAGACAACAAUCUCAGCCAGCUUCUGGAAAUGCCUGACGGAAUUGACCCUGUGCGAGACCGCAUUGCAAAUGUCCAACGCUUUUACCAUCUAAAGGAUCAAUGUGCAGUAAACUUGGCUUCGAAUUAACAAGUCUGGAGAUAGCUCUUUUUUUUCUUGUAGCACCAUAGCGUCCACUAGAUGCUUGGCCAUUAAUUUUUUUCCCUUGUAAAUUUUGUUUGGUACUCAAGUUGAGGCUCUAGCCAUUUUUGUCCCCUUCACAACUUAAACCAGAGAUUGAACUUCCCAAAUUUCAGUUGUUGUGAAAAUAAUCUAAAAACUUGAGCUGAUAAACGUGCGCCUAGAGUUCAACGUUAUUAAGGGAUUUUCAAUAAAGCAAAACAUUUUAAAAAAAACUCUAGCGAUUGACAGAUUAAACUAUGCAAGUUCCCAAAGGAGCAUGGUACUAAAUGUUGGAUAAUUAGCUACAUGAUCUUUAUUGGUCCUGCCCGGACCCCGACCCGCCACCUCUUGAGACCCUCUGGCCGGCCAACUCUUUCACCGGGCACUGCCACUCGCUGGCCACCUAUUCAAGUGGUAUUUGUGAGAAUGGAUUAUGGAAGUUCUCCCCUCAUAGUUGAAAAAUAUGCACUACCAACUAUUUGCGCCCAUUGUCCAUGUUUUGACCCAACAUUUAUCACGAGUGCCUAGAGAAGGAUUUGAUGGGCUUUGUACUUUGUGUGCGUCGUGCCACAGGUUCAGUUUUCUUUUAUCUUCUGGGCCUCUGGCCCCAUCCUCACCGAGCUUCAACUUCGUAUAGUUUGGCCCUUUCCUUUAGUUUAAGAGGAAACAGUUUCUUAGCCCAAUGAGCUUAUACAACCGGCCCUUGACCUAAGAAGACCAAACUGCGCCAUCUAAACACAACUGAAAGGGGCUCAUGUGGGUUAAGCAAGUCGGCCAGAGCAAUGAGCCCACCCCUUCCUGUACCCAAAUUUAAAUUACUCUCCCGGUAGAUUAGAUUAACUUAGAAUAGAUUAUUGCUUCUAUAUAAAAUAAAGUAAAGUAAUAGGGAUCGAUGUGUUCCUGUGCCCUUAGAAGAUAUGCUCUUUUUUUUUGGAGCAAAUGCAUAGCUGGAGAUAUUUCUGUCAUCGGAUGACAUAACUUUUUGCUGGUUGUUGGGACCCUAUUCGCUCUUUCAUUCUCAUACAAAUGUUGGUUGAGCUUAAUUUUAUAUGGUGGGAUGAGAAGAAUUUAUUACUUCCCUUUCCAUAUGCAAAUCUGUAUCUUAACCAGAUGCGUACAUGAAAAUGAAAGGGAAACUUUAUUGAGUAAGGCAUAAUCAUGCAUUGAUUUCAAAAGUGUAUAAUUAUUACAUUUUUAAGUUCAAGCUUUCUUGAACAUGACUUUGAAUGGCACAUCAGUGAGAGCCAGGCGCCUUUUCCCAUCUUGAAUAAAAAUCCCAACAUCUCUGCAUAUCACUUUGCAGAAAUUGCAAACUGUUGGGCAGAAGACGAGCUUGUAGUCUUCAUCAUAUUUCUCAAUCUUAAACCAAUUGCUUGUGGUUUGACGACCGGGAUUGCCCUCAACCCCACCACUCGUGACAAACCACUGUCCUGUUUGCUCAUCAAACUUGUCCAAUUUCCACAUCGUGGAUUGAACGCAGAUUGUGGCAGCAGAGAACUUGAUGUUAUGAUCGGUUGAGACCCGAACCACGCCUUUCUUAGGGUUCACCGGUGAAAAUGUCAGCGGGAGACCAUUCGACACCUCAUGCUGCUCUUGAACAACAUCAAGUGGGCAGCUGGUUGUGUUGCUAGUGCUAGCCAGAGUGAGCCCCCCGCCCCUCCCACGGAUGACUGGUAAGAUGUAAUAAUCGGUGCCCGUUCGGAGCUUCUUGCCGGUGAUGUCAAGCACCGGGGACGGAGCAGCAUCGGCUGCAACUGACCAUGGCUUGGCAGAGAAGGCAAGGAGAAGGAAGCAGAGUGCUAGCCUCAAUGACAUUGUUAUUAGUAAUUUCUUUGUUAUUUUGUGUAUAAAUGAAAGAGGGGGUUCUAUUUAUAAUAGAAACUAAGGAUUUAGAUUACAUUUGGGUUGAAAGAUGAUGCCUUAGCCUUACACUUAUUUGUUCCUAUCCACAACUAACAAAAAUAUAUGUAGCUUAGGCUAAUUCCAUUGAAAUGUUAGCUGUGUGCUGAAAACGUAAAACUUGGUACAAUUCGGAAGUCGAGCAAUCUGUAUUUUAUGUGAAGUCAAAUGUCAAUACCCAAAUAUGAUUCAAAGUUUCCGUCUCUGAUUUCAUUUCAAACCACAUACGUAUAUAUUAUAGCGGUGGCUUUGACUUCAUGUAUGUCUAUAAGAUAUAUAUGAAGCUGGGAAGCAUUACGUGCCCUUUUUGGUCUAUGAAUCGUAUAUAAUAUAUUUGAAGGAUUCUACUGUUUUUUCAUGCAGGCCUGUUCGAAUUCUGGUUUUUGCAUAUACUGUGAAUUGCGCAUACAUCAACGGUCAAAAAACGCUUGUGUGCAUAGGUGCUCAACUUAACACUGCUCAUUACAUUUUAGCAAUUAAUUAGUGAUUUGUAACUCUUAAACCCCUAUGAGAGAUAAAAGUAUGAUCCAAGUCCAAAACACAAAAUAAUAAUUGAAUUGAAUUGAGCUAAUUAUAAUGAUUUGCAAAAGAUUUGGAUCCUAUGUCAGGUUUUAUUUGACUUCUCUUUUCUACAUGUUGCCUCACUUAAAAUAUCAAUCCAACGGCUAAGAAACUAACACCACAAUUUUCUUUUAAAAAUAGCUUAAAGUAGGAAUUGAUCAUUCUCUUUGAUGAGUUCUUCCACACAAAUCAAUAUCUUAUUCCUUGUGAUGGUCUUCUUUUCUGUUUUUCUGUUUUUCUUUUUCAUUCUGACGUUUAAGGCUAUGAUUCCAUGUCUCGGUGGACAAAAGUAGAAAGAAAAGAAGAGGUUGAGCCAAUUGAAUCAAAUACAAUUCUUAAUUGAUGACAAAAUGAUGUACAACAGAUGACAGAAGCAAUUAAAGAGGAGCUGGACACACAAGUGAGUAAGGGCAAAACGGACAAACUGCAGAUUUGGGCUUUGAGCUAAGAAUCGAGCCCAUAAUCCGUCAAUUCGAAGAGAACGGCAUCAUGAGUAAAACUCAUCACUUUGCCAUGAUGUAUGGGCUUUUUCAGGCAUUCGAGAUCAUUUAGCAACCCAAAAUCCAGUUUUAAAGUAUUUAUAGUUUUUGGAAACUUUGUUAUUUUUCUAUUUUAAUUCCUUGUUUAUUUUUAAGAGUAUUUAAACAAAUUUUACCCGUGGCUAGGGUUAUGUUUUGUUAUUCCAAUAUAUUAAAUAAACCUGGAGGUUUCCUUAGAGCAGCUCCAGCGAGGGAGCCCAGCCCGAGGCGAGGGCAGGAAAAAAAAAAAAAGUCGCUCCAGCGUACAGCCCAGGCCCGGGGGUGGUGUGGGACCUACCAACUCGGGCCAGCCCGAAGGCGAGACCAGCCCGAGGUCCAACUCGCUUGUUGCUGACGUCAGCCUCGCGUCACGCUGACGUCAGCGCGCCAGGUCCAAGGUACGCUGCCACGUGUCGCCUCCCCAGCCUUCCGAUAUGCUUCUCCAAAUUAAUCCAACGGCUGAGGCUUUUUUGGGCAAUAAAAAUAUGAAAAAAAAUCGUAAAUUUUUUUAAAAAAUUCUAAAAAAUUCUGAUAUUUUUUUUUCUAUAAAUACCUAUCAAUACCCUUCACUUUCAACACCAAUCCUCAUACAUUUCAUCCUCUAUACCUUAUUUCCAUUUUCAACAUUUAAGUAAAUGUCUUUGUCCUUUUACUUUAAUUAUUUUUAUAUUACUCCAUUUACUUAAGUUUACAAUGUAAAUAAGGAAGUACCCCCCAUUUGGAUUCAAAUAAAAAUACUAGAAAAUCAAAUUCCCACCAAAUCAAAAUAUGAAAAAUCGGUUUUAGUGCAAAAUACGAUUUAGGCUAAAAAUGAUGGCUCAUUAAGUCAAUAUAUACUUCAUAUUAAAAUCCCAUAAAAUCAAGUUUUCUUAUUUGAUGUGUAAGGAAUAAAAGCCGCCAAAAAUUAUCUUGAGAAAAUAAUUAUUCCGAAAAACCAUUUUUCAUACUUAGCCAAUAUUGCACCUCCGCUAAAAAAAUUAUGGGUCCGCCCGUGUCUAUAAAUACCAACCAAUACUCUUCACUUUUAACACCAAAUCCUAAUUUUUUUUUAAAUGAAUACCAACCAAUACAACUAAUAAAAUAAAAUCUUAUCCGAUAUGAAUAGUAUUGACACGUAGGAACCCAAAAAUCUUAUCCGAAAAUAUUAUCCAAAUUAAUUAUUUAAGUAAAAAAAAGUUGUGAAAAAACAAAAAAAUGAAUAGUAAUUGCCCUUAGCCAUGGCAAUGGGUGGAAACUCAAAAUACUAUUUGCAAGGGCAACCACUAUUCACGUGAAUAGUGGCUGCCCUAGCUCCCCCCUUGCCAUGGCUAAGGGCAAAUGGGUGGAGUUGCUCUUAUAUCUUCCUAGUGGAUUUCAGAGUUACAUGUUUUAGGCUAAGGUUUUAGCUAAUCUAUUGUCACGCUGCGACACAAAACUAGAACAAUCACAAAACUAAAAGUUGUACACAUUUUCGUGUAAUAACAGGUAUUUUAAUAUAUAUUUGCAUUUCAAAAUUAGUCUGCAAAUAUAUACUUGGGAGCUUCUAUAAUGAGGGGCUAUGUUGAGAGGUUACAAUGAGGGAGUUCAAUCAAACAAUCCAAUAAUAAUUCUGCAUUGGAUCGAACAGCUAUUACAGACCUCAUUAUAACCCCUCACAAAAACUCCUCAUUCUAACCUCACUGUAUAUACUCUUCGUCAUUGAAAACUUACACAUGAAACCCAUCCCAUCUGUAAUGGGCCCGUGUCCUUAAAAAGAAGGGUGAUGCAUAGGGCAUUUGGGCAUUCAAUUUAAGAGGCAGAAGUUGAGCAUGAAAUGCAAACCCAUAAAAAAGCCCAUCGCAAAGAAGAAGAUAUUGACUUGGCGAAGAACUCAUCUAGAAAAUGAUUAGUUCCUACAUUAAGCUUUAAAAAAAACCAAAACAAAACAUGUAUGGUGGUGUUAGAACAUUUUUAAAUCAGGUGGCAUGUUGAGAAAACAAGUCAAGUAGAUCCUAGUAAAUGAUCCAAUUCUUUAACAAGUAAAUGCGCUGUUCAUAGUUGUGAUGAUACACAAAAUGGUGAGUUGAGAUGAGAGUGAGACAAGACAAGUGGCAGCACUCACAUGAUUAUCCAAAAAAAUAUCUAGAUAUUUGUUGAGGCAUGCUUUCUCAGACUCAAAAGUCCACAUUAGAGGCUUGUCAUGAUUUUGGUAGAAAGGGUUGUCUAUACAAACCUUCCUCUUGAUAAACGAAAAUUUACCAAUAUAUAAAAUCAGAGAUAAAUUGUUUACAAAGAGUAGCAACAUUGAAAAACACCUGUCUCCUGAAUCAGUUUAUGUUUACUUAGGCUGUUCAAAAGCUAAGCAUAUGUGGUUCCGAAAACAGCGGAUAAAGCCGAUCUUGUGUUCUUCCCCAUUGAAGUUUGGAGGAAAUUUACUGACAAAGUCACAAUAUUAUUUAAACAAUCAACAUGAAAAUGAAAGUAACUUGAAUGAAAUUUUAUUGAAGCAAAACAUAAUCAUACAUUAAUUUCAAAAAUGCAUGUUAGCACAUUCUUAAUUUUUCAGUUCAUACUUUCUUGAACAUGGCUCUGAAUGGCACAUCACUGAGAGCAAGACGCCUUUUCCCGUCUUGAAAAAAAAUGCCAACAUCUCCACAUAUAACUUUGCAGAAAUUGCACACUGUUGGACAGAAAACGAGCUUGUAGUCAUCACCAAAUUUCUCAAUCUUAAACCAAUUGCUUGUAGUUUGACGACCCGGAUUGCCCUCAACCCCACCGCUCGUGACAAACCACUGUCCUGUUUGUUCAUCAAAUUUGCCCAACUUCCACACCGUAGAUUGAACACAGAUUGUAGUAGCAGAGAACUUGAUGUUAAGAUCAGUUGAUACACGAACAACGCCUUUCGUGACAUUCACAGGCGAGAAUUUCAGUGGAAGACCAUUGGAGACCUCAUUUUGUUCUUGAACAACAUCAAGUGGGCAGCUGGUCUUGUUGCUAGUGCUGGCCAGAGUAAGCCCACCACCUCUCCCACGGAUGACCGGCAAGAUGUAAUAAUCGACUCCGGUUUGGAGCUUGUUGCCGGUGAUGUCAAGCACUGGGGAAGGAGCAGCAUCGGCUGCAACCGACCGUAGCUUGGCUGAGAAGGCAAAGAGAAGGAAGCAAAAUACUAGUGGAUAUGGGGCUUUCAAUGCCAUAGUUAUUUUGUGUACCAAUGAAUGAAGACAGAAGAGAGACUAUUGUAUUCAUAACUGAGACUGAGUUAGGUAUGGGUUGAAAUAUGAUGCCUCUUGCAUUUAUUUGUUCUUAUCCAUAACUAAUUAAUUGGGCUGAGUUAUUAAAAUGUGUUUUAUGCUGAAAAAGUGAAACUUGGUAUAAUUAGAAAGCCAUGUACGUACCUAAUAUGAUUCAAAGUUUUCGCCUGCUUUCAUAUAAACUUACUUUUUAAAAAAAUAUUUUAAAAAUCUAUGAGAUUCGAAUUUGAGAUUUCUUACAAUAUUAGCGAAAUACCAUUAAGCUAGCUGUGAGCUAAUUGGUACUGCAUGACAUGUUUGGCAAGGUAGGUUAACCACUUAUAUUUUUUAAAUCAAAGAGAAGAAUUUCAUUGAAUUUGCAUCAGCACUUACAAUAGAAUCAAUUGACGAAACGGAGAGAAUAGUCUCAUUAAAACCUUGCCAUAUGAAACCCCCAAAAGAAGGAAAAUCCGGUCAAGGAAAAAGAGUACCACAGCAUCUCCAAAUAAACAACUGAGGAAAACAAAAAAGAUUGUUAAGUCUGCAUCCUAUCGCUCUCUAUUACUUGACCAAAAAAUAAAAAAUAAAAAAAAUCGCUCUUGUUAUAAAACUGGAGAAUUUAGAGAGGAAAAUUGAGAGAAAGAAUUGAGAGACAGAGAGAGAAGAAUGUAGGAACUGAACUUCCCUUCAGAGUUUUUUCUUCUCAUUUAGGUGUUGAAUGUGUAUAUUACAAACAAAGGGGUGAACCCGUAUAUAGGCAAAGCUUUCCAACAUGUGGGCUCCACCUUACCAAUACAAUACAAAUGGGAGGAAGCUUCAUAGGGAGGAAGCUUCACAGGUUUCCAUCUUGUUUACAACACUCCCCCUUGGAGACCACAAAUGAUACGGAAUAUGCCUCGUUAAAAACCUUGCCAGUAAAAAUCCAGUGGGACAAAAACUGGUCGAAGGAAAAAAAAGAGUACAUAAUCAUGUGUAACAUAAAAUUCUGUGUAUAUUGACGCGCAUGCGACACUGUCUCGUUAAAAUCUUGCCAGGAAAAACCCAGUGGGAUAAAAAACUGGACGAAGGAAAAAGAGUACAGUGUUUGAAGAUCUUUAUUGAUAGCACGCUCCCCCUGAUGCUUGGCAAAAUAUCUUUGAGUCAUACUGUUUAUCACCUUUCUGAAUAUCGUAGUUGACACUGCUUCUGUGAGUUAAUUGUGAUCGAUACUGCUGCUGUGAGUCAAUCUUGAGUGACACUGCUGCUGUGAGUCAAUUUUGAGCGACACUGCCUCGUUAAAACCUUACCAGGAAAAACUCAGUGGGAUAAAAACCUGGAUGAAGGAAAAAGAGUACAGUGUAUGGAGGUCUUUAUUAAAACCACGCUCCCCUUUGUGAAUAUCUCCCCCUGAAAAAUUUAGGACUAGCUUUUGUCCAGUAAGCGACCAUAAAAAUUUUCAUAGUAUACCCUAAACCCUUGAGCGACACUGCCUCGUUAAAACCUUACCAGGAAAAACCCAAUGGGAUAAAAACCUGGAUGAAGGAAAAAGAGUACAGUGUAUGGAGGUCUUUAUUAAAACCACGCUCCCCUUUGUGAAUAUCUCCCCCUGAAAAAUUUAGGACUAGCUUUUGUCCAGUAAGCGACCAUAAAAAUUUUCAUAGUAUACCCUAAACCCUUGAGCGACACUGCCUCGUUAAAACCUUACCAGGAAAAACCCAAUGGGAUAAAAACCUGGAUGAAGGAAAAAGAGUACAGUGUGGAGCUGAGCUCUAUCUGGUCUAGUAUACUUCCGGAAAAACAUUUAAGGACCAACGGAUAAUCCUCAUAAAAAUGCUUCAAUACUUUCUUAGUAUAAGCAAGAAUCUCGUUGGCAUAAUGCUCGAUCGAGACAAAUAUUUCAUGAAUUCUGCAGAAGCUUUAAUGUGUUGCAAACACAUUAUAAUCAAUGUACUCACUGAGGUAAUUUAUGCAUAUUAAUAUUGAGUACAAAUUUCGUGCUUCAAGCACAUGUCCUUUAGGGACUUGUUUUAUGCAAUGUCAAUCCUCUCAACGGAUUUUGUUUAAAAAGGGAUUAAACUUUAUGACACAUUAUAUAACUUUAACCCAGCUAUUUAUACAUCUUUAGGGAAUCGCUUCUGGCGAUAUGCUCCGUGUAUUUAAUAACCCUUAAAGAUAAUAUGUUGGUCUCCGUAAUUGUGUAAUAAGGGGGGCACAAUUGAAUCUGUAAAUAUGGAGAAAACCCAACAUUCCUUGUUUCUGCCAGAAACAGUGUGUCAUACAAAGUAGGUAUAUUCCCUUUUAUUCCGAACACCCAAGUAUAAAUUCAGUAUUAACAAAUUUUGGGGUUCGUAUUGUGGGUUUGUUCUUUCACGUUCAUUCUCAUUUAUAAUGGAAUUACCUCGUUCCAUUUUGGCCAGUGAUAUUGUCGACAUUUAAUAAUUGAACGUGGUUCCAAUCAACACAGCCCAUUGAUGAUUUGAGUAACUACUCCAAAACCAAAAAUUGUCAUUCAUCAAUUCAUGAUCCCACCAUUCUCAUGUGCAUGCGCAUGCAUCAAUUAUAAGCAUUUCUUUGCUUUUGGGUACCCAAGCCACUGCAGGGGGCUUUUAUUAUGUGAGAAUGUGGAUUAUAAACUCCAUCGGAGCGUUAUUUAGUAGUAGGGCGUGAAAAAUCUCCAUUUAGGGAGUUGGAACAUUUAGAACCCAUAUAUCUGUCAUGCUACAGGCAUGCCACAGAUUAAUACAUACAUGUCAAUUAAUUUAUGGGACUUUAACCCAUAUUAUGGGACUUUAACCCAUAUAAUUUGCUACGCAUUAGGCGUGCAUAAUAUCAAUAUUGACAUGUCAAAGGAUUGUCCUUUCGGGACUUCAAUCCACAUCAUUUGCUACGCAACAGGCGUGCAUCAUAUUGAUCACUGCUAUACCCAUAUUCUGUUCUUAUGGGACUUUAAUCUGUGCAGUGUAUUAUCAAUGUAUCCAACUUGCAAUCUGUAAAAUUUGCGUUAAUAAUUCAUGGAUACAUACAAGCCAUUCUUUUGGAACGGACUUAUCUCCCCAUUUGGUUACCUUUCAAGAUAAAAUAUCAAAUAGGUAUAUAAGCAUAAAAUAACACAAGUAUUGCUUACAUCCUUAGGUGGGAGAAACUUUUCUCAAGUAUCAUUCAAGCUCGUAUCGGCCCAGUAAAUAUAAAGUAUCGCUUGAUGAUCUUGUUAUAUCCUGCAAGAGCAAAAAUCACAAUUCUCUUCUCUGUCAAAAACAAAUAACUCUCAGAGUUAGGAUCACUGCAUGGAUUCAUUCUUCAGAUGUUCAUUCUAAAGAAAUAAAAUCUCUUAUGAACAGAGAGUUAUAAAAAGAGAGAAAAGAUACAAAGAUUGUGAUAUUGAUUGCAAGGUAAGGUAAGCAAUCAAGGAAGGAAGCUGGUGGGAGCAGACAAUAAGCUCUCAUAUCUCCUAGUCUAGAAGGACCUCAGGAGAUUAGAGCAUAAGGCCGCCUUUACAAUUCCCUGAUCUUGCAAAAACAUGAUCAGGGAUAGUCUUGCUUCCUGAAUGGAUGAUCAGAGAUAGUCUUGCUUCUCAGGCAUAUUAAGUGCUUAUUGAUAAGAAAAACAAGUAGAUAUCGCAUCACUAGGUAUGGAGUAAACUGGAUGUCUUCUGCAAAGGAAAUUUCGUUAGUAACACAUUUAUACACAAAUACAAUGAAUAGGUAGAACCGGUGAAUUUCAAAUUAACCAUAGGAAAAUUGCGAGAUUCUCGGGAUGCUUUUGAAAAAGUAGCUCCGUGAAAUCCGUAAAGCAAGAUCGGCUUUGAAAAUAAUGCUUGAAAACGCCGAAAGUGCCGACAGGCAUUAUUAGAGGCCACGUGAAGUUUUGGACUCUAGGAAAGAAAAAGAGAAAUAUGGGGAUCCGAGAAGAUAUUGGGAUCCUGAAAAACAGUAGCCAUAUUUCCUCUUAUAGAUAUUGCCUUUGCAAAACUUGAUUGGAACAACUGCGUUUCAACUCAACUUCCUUCAGAGGCUUCUAGAACAUAAUGUAUUUUUAUAGAUUUUACAGGGCCUGCACCUUCAUUGCAGGUGGAAAAAUCUAUCUGUUAUAUGUUCCUGUAAUAAUAAUUGCGCACAUUCUAAAACUGGCACCUGUGGUUUUUACGUCUUUUCAAAAUGACGGUUUGGAACCUUGUGCCUUAUAGGUUCAAAUAACCACAUUGUUUCUCCCAAAUUUCAUAUUUUAUCGCAUGGUAGCCCGAAACUUUUGGCCUGGGCACAAACUCAGAAUUUAUUUGCUCUUUUCAAAUGGACAUGAAAUAUGAAUUGAGUAAAAGCCACGAUAAUAUCGCAAUAUAGUAGUGAAGAGCAUUAACUACUAUAUACCCACAACUUCAAGUUCAGGAUCUCUCAUAUAUUUGGAUCCAUGGGCUUCCGGCCCAGAUAUAACAAAAUAUGUGGGGAGCCUCAAUUCAUUAUUUGAGGUUUAUAUUGAUAUUAUCCAUUUCGCGGUGUAUUCUUAACUACCGGAAUUCACAAAAUAUAUUUCUUCCUUGAGGUGUCGAUUAUAACAAAAUUGAACUUUAUUAAAUUCAUCAUCUUCUUAUACCAAAGAAAUAUGUGGCAUACCACAAUUUGCAAUAAUACCUCAAGGGUUGUCCAUUUAAUUGUUGGAACUUCAGGUUCUCAACACUGUUAAAUUUGGAACUUCAGGCCAAAGUCACAUAUUCUCAUGGUAUGAACAUUUUUACAAUUUUCUGUACAUAUUUCUGGACUUCAAGCCCUUACAUAAUUGUCCAUAUUUUGAGGAACUUCAGGCAUCUCAUUUAAUUGCUCAUCCAUGAGUUGAAGGAACUGCAGGUUCUCUUUUGUAUAUAGUGACAGUUUACCCAAAAUGGUUCAUAUGCAUACGUCACUAUUCAUGUGAAUAGUACUAUUCAUCAAGUCAUGAAUACGUAUCUAUUCAUCUGCCAGUACAGUUAUCAUCAAUGUGUACGGCACUAUGAACCAAUACGGUAUUGUUACAUCAUUAUCCUUAUUUACAUGUCAGGAAUCAAGGACCCUUAAGUCCGAUCACAUGUUUACAAAUACAGUACCGGAGAGACUGCCAGCUCUCAUAUUAAUAUCAUCAUCAAGGAUCUUCAAGUCCUGAUGUAAUUGUAUGAUGAGGAUCAAGGAACUUCUGGUCCUGAUCUGCAUACUGUAAAAAACUCAUCAUACAACACAUUUAGUCCAUAAAAUAAAUUGCUUGUAAAUAAAUUACUGGUAUGGACGAUAAACCCGCACCACACUUUAAAUAAAUGUAAAUGUGCGGUAAAAUAAAUUCAUAAAUUAAAUUGCUUGCUGUAUGGACGUUAAUCCCGCACCAUACCUUAAAUAAAAUUAAAUGUGCGGUAAAGUAAACGUGCUUGUAUGGGCACUAAUCCUGCUCCAUACAUAAAAGCAAAGGCGUGGGCGAUAAACCCGCACCACCCUUUUAAAUAAAUACUGUUGUAUGGGUAAUAAACCUACACCAUACAGUAAAUAAAAUAAAUGUGCGGUAAAGUAAAUUUGCAGUAAAUUAAACGUGCUUGUAUGGGCACUAAUUCUGCUCCAUACAUUUAAAUAAAAUUAAAGGCGUGGGCGAUAAACCCGCACCACCCUUUUAAAUAAAUACUGUUGUAUGAGUAAUAAACCUACACCAUACAGUAAAUAAAAUAAAUGUGCGGUAAAGUAAAUUCAUAAAGUAAAUUUCAUAAAGUAAAGUGUUAGGAUUAGUAACGGUUUCCCACUGAUAAUAUGUUUAGUAUUACCGAGGGUCCAUUUUUGUUAAUGGUUAGUAAAAGAAAAGCAGAUAAAUAUAAUAGGAAAUAAUAGAGGAGAUAAGGGAGCAGAAAACUUAACGCUUAUGCUCUUGCUGAGUGAUCCCUUUUUCUUUUUUUU
rnacentral:lncRNA from 1 species